rnacentral:lncRNA from 1 species
CCCCACCUCUCUGUGUGGUCGGGGCUGCAGAGCCUCAGUUCCCAACAGCACAAGAACCUUCUGCUCCCCGAGAUGGCUGUUGGAGUGGGGGCUGCUCAGAGCUGUGAGGCAGUGCUUGCUUUCAGCCGGAGCUGGGAGGGAGGAGCUGCACCCGUCCCCUUAAAAUUUCACACUUCAAUUCAGGUGCAAGAAAUCCCAUUCUUUCUACAAAGAACGGGUGGAAAACCAGCCUGGUCCACAGGCAACAACCAAUGCCAUGGGACUGCUGUUACAAGGACAGGACAGGUGAGGAACUUGGGUCCUGCUGGCCCCAAUAUGGGAUGCUCCCACUGCACUCUGAUCUAGCUAAGACCUGAAAACCUGACCGGAACUGAUGCACACGCACUGGAGAUUUAUGUUCUCAUGUCAGAUCGAAGAUUCGUGGCAUUUCCUGGAAGGUUACAUGAUGUUUCAUUUUCAACAAAUAAGGUCAAAAGCACAAAGAAAUAAAUAAAAAAAAGCAAUCUCUCUAGAUCAGCUGUUUGCAAACGCCGGCGGUGCAAGCCUGUGUGUUGCUGCUUGUACAGAACUGCUUUCCUGGAGCAGCGUGCUGCUGAACCCACACAGCCUGCAGCAGGAAACAGCUUCAGCUGGAACAGAGCCCUGGGAUGGGUGUGCUGCUCACCCACACGUUCAGAUUGAAUAAGAAGAGGUGCUGGAAGGGCAGAAAUUGGGCAGUCAUUGGCAUGCAGCAGCACAGACCCCUGGACACAUCCCUCCUUCUGCAGCAAUGUCACAGCUAGAGGAUCCAGGUGGGAUGUCCUGGGCUUGCAUUUCAUCCUGCAAAUCCUCCCAGCGGGACAGCCCCUGCUCCUACCCUUGAAAGCAUGUUUGCAGCUACAGCAAAUAAAAUAAGGUUAAUGAAAAGUCACUCUGGAAACACGGAAGCACAGUCAGUGCUGCUGCUGUGAUGCUUCAUUUGAGAUGCAGGGAGGUAAAAUUCUGCCUCCCACCAGGGGUGUCACUGGGGAAUAUUAUUUCUUCCUUCUCUAAAUGACAUGGCAUCGUUUCUUCUUUUCAGGUCACUGCCAACUUGGUGUCACCGUUUGAUUUUUCAGGAAAGCGUAGUCUUUACCUGACAGCGGUGGUUGCCUCCAUCCACCCUCCCACCCCCAAAACAGAGCUACAAAAAUAGAUUCACCUACAGACGAAGAGCAAAUAAAGAUGGCUCCCAGCACGUGAAUAGCUGAUGAGGAGCCACUUAGCAGACUUGGCGUAUUCAUCAGCUUCAGCACAUGAUCGUUGAUUGUGUGUCUGCAGCUCCUUUGUUCUUCUUUGCUCAUUAUAAUCGGGUCAAAUGGGAUGCACACAAACCCCUGGCGGAAAUGAUAAGAGCCAAUGGAGAUGGCCAUAACCAUGACCCAUCCCAACUGGAAAAUUACCAGUUAGGAUUUUUUACAGCCCAUCAAACGGAGCCAUUCCAUCCAGCAGUGAGAGGUAGGUCACUGCUAAUUACGGGGUGAAAUCCAGCUCUGCACAUUGCCCUGUGCCUCUCAUUAGCAGCCCGGGCUGGAAGACCCUUGCAGAAGUAGGGCAGGGUUUCAGGGUGUGCUUCUCCAGUGCAGACCGGUCCUACCUUACAAGUACACAUCUGAAGCAGUUGAGGACUCAGCUGCAGUCUGGUGUAAGGGCAGAGUGGUGUAAGGGCAGAGUGGUGUAAGGCUGCUCUGUUUUCCCUGUCUGAUCCAGCCCAGGCACUGCAGUUCUUCUGGGCCCUUCACUCCCCACUCCUCCUGGCGCUGACCCAGUAAACCAGAUAGAACAGAGCAUCCUUCUCUCUUCACUUCUGGGUCAGAGGAAAACGCUGUUAUUAGGCUACCUCUACUUUAUGGUCUUUUAAUUAUUUCCACCUCUGUGAUUAGACUAAUUAGCUAACUGGUUUGUAAUGGCUGCAUGGUAGCUCUCAUUACGUUUUCAUUAAUCACAGCAUCACUGAGUCUCGCUAAGAGUCCAGGAUUUUUUUUUUGCGUUAUGAUUUGAAAUUAUUCAAAGCAAAAGGAAUCUGAAGGGGGAAAAGAAGUCAAUAGGAACAGACGCAGUGUUCAUCAGCAUCUUGGCAGAGAGACUCUCUGGUAUAUUUAGAAAUGCUGUGAUUUACAAGAGCCCACCAGCCAUUUACUUAGCGUCUGGAAGACACGGUGAGUUUGAAGUUUCCAAUCACAGCAGUUUAAGGCACCUUCUCACCCUCUUUGAUUUGAGACAGCUGAGUGACACACUCAAAUGGGAUCAGAAAUAAAAGGACUGACAGCACAUUUCCUUCAUCCCAAGAGCUGCACCCAGCAACGCCUCAGCAUCCCUUCAUCACAUGGAGAAGUGUGGGACAAAGCAGGAAAGAGAUCUAAGAGGAGGUUAAGUUUUUGCUGCUGGAAAAACAUUACUCUGACAGCUCCCAAGGCUUUGCUAUAAAUCUUUAUCCACCAAGGCAAUUUGAUGUGCUAAAAGACUUCUUAAAAUAAUCAAAAUUAAGAACAAGGCAGCCCACAUUGGGUAGUUUAAGUACGUGCACAGGGGGACGUUCAUCACUGUGGUUAUGACAGAAGAUAAUAAUAAUAAUAAUGAGAUUUAACACCUACUUAACAGGAGAAACCCAAAAGCCUGUACAAACACCAAUCAAUUAGCUCUGCCAACCAGCUGUGUGCUGGGCAGGAUGAUGGGGGAGAAGAUAAUUGCCCAGAAAGCUGAAGAUUGCCAGCAGAGAAGGCAGAACUGUACUGCUGCUCACUGCCCUGCAGCUGCCGUGGGAGUGCUGUCAGACAUUGCUACUGCUGCCUGCACCAACACCGUGUGAAAUCCUCCAAGGAAACCUGUACAGAAGGGCAGAGCUAUGUCCUGACAUCCCGAAGACUUUGCAAGGUGUCAGAGACAUAAACCAGGGAGAAACCAAAGUAGACUUUAUACAUCAGUCCUGCUUUAGCUUCUGAGAGCUGAAAAUUGGUCAUACUCUUUACGGACGGAGGUGCUAUAGAGCCCUAUUACUGGUCGUUCUUCUUCCUUUUCAACCAUCCUCCACCUGAUCCUGGUCAGGCUGGAUAUCAGGAGAAAUUCCUACUCAGAAGGAGCAGUCAUGCAUUGGUAGAGCUGCCCAGGGAGGUGGUGGGGUCACCAUCCCUGGAGGUGUUCAAGAAAAGGGUAGAUGUGACCCAGAGGGACAUUAGUGGGCAUGGUGGGAUGGAUUGGGGUUGGACGUGAUGGCAUUAGAGGUCUUUUCCAACCUUAAUGAUUCAGUGAAAACAGUCUCCAGCUCCAUAGCAUCCUGCAGCCUGCCCUGGGAACAGUGAUACCUGCAGCUGACACUGAGCCAGAGAUAGCAGCAUCUCAGUGCUUACCCCCAGGCAGAAAGAACUCUGCACUGCACUUGCUUCUCUGUGACUGUCAGCUGCAGCCUGGGCAGAGCCAGCAGCCAGGUUCCAGGGAUGCCCAUGUGCCUCCCAUCUAUCCCAUGCCUGGCUGUGGCAUUUAAAGGCAGUGAGCACACAGCAGCAAACGCAGUGCUGCAGUGCUGUAUAAUUUUAGUGGCCGCUAAGUAACACUCGUAACUUUUUUAACACAAGGAACAAGAAUUUACAGUGCCAUUCAUGGGGGGCUGUUGUAAUUAAUUGGGGCCCUAUGUGACCCAAGGCAUUUCCCCAACCUUCUGGCACCGUGGGAUGGAUGGGAGCUGCAUGCUGUGCUCACCGCUGGCUCCUGCUUGCAGCAGGGAGGGAAGCAGCAUUCUGCAUUUCCUGAGUAUAAAAGGCUGAGGAGUCCCCGUGACAAGCAAACCAUUAAAAAGAAAAAGGAACAAUAAUGCCAAGCAAAAUAUCGCUUCGGGGAAAAAUUUUGGCUUGCUUUUAGCACAGAUGUUGAUAUUGCAUGCUCAGAAAUGGCUCUGGAAAGUGGCAACGCUUUUGCAGUGUGCUAUGAGAUGGUGCACGGAGGCAACGAGCUGUGCUUCAAGGGGAGGAAUCGGAGCAUUUGAAAAUUAAAAGAAAUAAAAAGGAAAAGCCUUCUGAAAGAGAAGUUAUGAGGAGAGCUUCCGCACACUACAGCCCCCCCAAAUUAGUCUGUGGAGAACUGUCCUACACUUCUCUGCUCCAGCGGCAGUGGGCUCUGACAGGAGGAGGAUGCAAACAACAUAUGUGGGCUCUUUGGCUCCAGGCAAAGCUCUGCCAGAGCUCCCAAGGGUAAGCCCUUACCCAUAGAGAGCAGACACCCAUCCCCUGAAUGCCUGUGAAUGCAGUGAGGCCCCCUCCUGUGCCCUGAGUGCCUCCGCAGUAUGUAAAGAGGUGUUUUUCACAUGAUGGGUGUCCUCAUUUCCAGCCCUGGAGUGCUCAGGAGGAGGGGAUCCCGGUGCCUUUCCGGGAUGAGGGAGGUGCAGGUCAUGGUGGGGUACAGUUUUUGGGCAUCCAAUGGCAGUGUGUGGCAAUGCUCGUGCAUCGUGCAGAGGUGAUUGCUUUGCACUUUGCAUAUUCCCUCUGUGCAAUGCGCUGGGAUUUUUCAUUGCAUCCAUAAUUCAUAUCCUGCUGCAGCAGUUCUAUGGAGGCAGCACAGGAUCUCAGCUCCAGCAUUAAGCAGGGAAGGAGAUGCUCUCAUCACCAGACAGCAAACCGGGCAGCUGGGGUGCAAAGAGCAUCUCUGCUCUGCACCAACUGUCCUGCAGGCAGGGAUGCAAGCAGACAGUGAGAUGAGAGUGCCAGGGGUGACUGCAGGAUGGGUAGCAGCACAGGGCUGCCUGCUUGUCCUGCCCAGCCCUGUUUUACACAUGCAUGGCAUCAUGCAGUGCCGGAUGCCGGUGCACCACUGGUUUUUGUGGUAAAAAUGCUUUCUGGCCUGGAAGGUCACAGCCUUUGCUCACAAAGCCACCCACGAUCCCUCCCAGGCUGUGAGGCUUUCUCCUGCAUCUCCACUGUAACACAUGCACUGAAAAACCCUGUUUGUCAGAAAGCAAAGUGUGUCGGGAGAUUAAAAUGUAAAUGUUGCGCUCGGCUUUUCGGAGGGGGGCUGCUGGUUUAUUUGUGACGCUGCAGGAAAUAGGUUUUUGAUAACUGCAGAACUUCUCCCCAGCCGCUGCUGCAAACAGCCAAAGCCUCAAUAAAUAACUCCUACCGUUGAACACCAACGUGCUCAUGGUCUGGAGAAGUGCUGGGAAUCAUAGAAUCAUAGAACGGCUUGGGUUGGAAGGGACCCCAAGGAUCAUCAAGUUCCAACCCCCCGCCACAGGCAGGGCCACCAACAUCCAGAUGUGUUAUUAGGGGAGCUGUGAUUGAGGUUUCCUGCCCUUCCUUGGGCUGGGAGGGGUGCUGCAGAAGGGCCCCUUAGCAGUGCUGACUAUAACCACCGUAUAUUCUGUUUUUACCAUUUAUUGGCUUGGGAAUCUGGGGAAAGGUCUCUGCGGGAGUGAUAUGUUGUACUGUGUGAGGGUCACUCGUGAGCAUCAGAAUGAGGCGCUGAAAGAGAGCGUGGAAGGGGUUUGCAGGGUUUUGGCAUCCCCAGUGGGCACGCAUUUAGAUGUGUGAACCUUGGGAUAAGGAGCUCUUGGAUCACGGCUCUCACUUUAAAACUACAGCCAGCAUCAAUAUUCAUGGCUUUAAUACCAAAAAGGAUGCAAGGCUAAAUGAAGCAGGCUUGUGUAGUACACGGAAUAACCUGAACACGACUGCUGCGUUCAGGAGCGACCAGUGAGUCAAAAAUCUCUCCCAGCAUUAAUCUGGCAAAUGAUUUCAAACAAUGGAGAUGGAUAUGAGGAAGAACAGACCCCACGCUAACAGAGCCUGAUCUGUAAACUUGGCUACUGACUUUGUAUCCCUUAUGUAAACUCGGAAGAGUAACGUAUUUAUAGCCUCUUGACGUAAGUAUCCCCUGUGAAAUAUGGGAUGCAAUAAAUAUUCUGCCAUCUCAGGAAGCCUUUAGGACCAAACAGUACCGAGAUGCUGCAAAGACAAACCCUAUGCAGCUAACGAGUGUUGGGGAGCUGCCAGCCAGCUGAAAACAUCGCAAGUGAAAGCAUGGAAACAGCCUUGCUGGUAACGCGGGGAGAGUUUUAUUGACACAGUCACAAUGCAAGGUCACUGCAUAAUGCCUUCCAGCUCUUCGUGGCACCUUAACAAAUCCCUUCCAACCAUCAGGUUGGGGUUUGGUCAGCUUUAUCCCAGCGUUUUGUUGUUGGUCAAUAAUUUCCUUCUGUUCUUUUUAUGGUGUUUUUUUUUUUUUUUUCCCUUUAUGAUGUAAAGAUGAGCUCUGGGCCCCUCUCCCUGUCCCAUGCUGCCAGCACUGCUUUUUACAGAAUUACAAAUUACGCAGCACUUCCACAUUAAAACAAAAUGAGUUCAUCACCGUUUUUAAAUAAGGAUGUCAUUUGUAAAUGCUUUAUUCAUAAUUAAUGGAAUUAUUGCUGGGUGCAGCCACAUUCCUCAUCCAUGUACUAUAAGAUCUGUUGUAAAGUGCAUUAGUAAAAAGCUUUAUAGAUGGGGAUAUGACAAGCUGACUGCACAGUAUGUUAUGGGAUGCGGUGUAGCAUUGUUGUAACAAUCUCUAUGCAAGAUUUUAAGCUAUCAGUCAGCUGGGGGCUGAUGGAUAGUGUAAAUGUUAAUAAUUAAUAAUAGGAUAAUGUUGAUAACUAAUUAAUAGUAAAUGAUGAGUAUGGAUUUUUUUAGUUAGCAUUAUGCUAAUAUGCAUUAUUCACUGAAUCAUAAAAUCAUGUUAGAGAUGAGAAAGUCUCGCUGGCUGUCUCCAGCUCUGUCACUCAUGAGUGAAUGCUGCUCUUUCAAAGCAUUUUCCAAAUGGCAAUUUUCCUCCAGCUUUCUGGCUCAAAUCACUUGGCUAAGAAGCAUUUAGAAAAAGAAACACAACGUCAGAGCUCUGCAUAACUGUGCACCAGAGUAAUGUGUAGCCACGGCCUUUGGGAUGCGCGUAGGACAAACCUACCUGCCCUAAGAGUGACCCGCUGCCUCUACAAGGAAAUCAUUCACAAUGAAGGAAUCAGCUCUGCAGAUUUCUUUCAAUCCUAUGUGGCAUCCUCCUGCAAUUUAAAGCCAUUAGGCACGCUUACCUUACAGUGAGGGUAAAGGAAGGUCCUUGGGCUGGGGAGCAACACAGGGGUUGCGUGAAGGUGGUGAUGCAGCAGAAAGUUUAGCAGAGAGCUUUAAGGGUGGCUCAACACCAUUUUCCAUUAUUUUUUUUUCAGCUGGCGUUAUCUCUUUUUCUAUGUCCUAGGCAGGAUCAAAGCCGGCUUGACAUCAUGCUGGCUGCUCAGGGGAUGGGAAAUGCCGAAGGCAGCAUCAACUCUGGGAUUUAGAGCCUUAUGCAGUCCAAUGGCCCUGGGAGGUUCCCAGCAGGGAUAUCCCCAUCUCCAGCCUCGUUGUGGCCCAUUCAUCUCAAGCUCAGGUGGGUUUCCAGAGCACUGAAUCCAUCACCUGGCUCACGUCUGUCCUCACUGGACCAAAUGGGUAGUUCUCCAUCUCUGGUUCCAAAGACUGAGAUUCUGGAUAGCUCCUUCCUGGUGCUCAGCUGAUUUGUAGAUAACCACAGCCAAAGGCAUAAAGUAUAUUGAGCACUCUGGGGUUCUCGUGUCCUUGAUGAGGAGGGAUGCUCUUGUACCUUCUUACAAAACUGGUUCCUUAAACCAUGCCCAUACCCGCCCUGGUUCCCACCCUCUGACAAUGCAUGAGCAUGUCCUAAGGACUAGUGCAAGAGCAAACCUUGGCAAGCUAACCAACGAUAGGUGAUGCUGAUGUUCUCUUGUUGAAGGAACUAAUACAGGGAGUUUUCUUUUGAAAAAUGGGAGUCCUAUGAGUUGAUCUAGCUUGCCUUUCCUAUCCCUCUUCCCUUCCCUGCCUCUCAGAUCGGGUGUUUGGCUUUUCAGCGCUUUCACUCAAGCCAAAUCUGCAAGCACAUUUUUGGGUGGAUGUCACCAGGAUCCACUUCCUCCUGGCCCACAGACAGUCUGUCUCUUAUCUCACAUUAGUAUCAAUUAUUUACAGCAGUAAUGUUAAAUCAUGAAAACGAGGUUGCAGCAAAGCUGUGCCUUGGCUAAUGCCCCAUGCUGCCUGCAGCUUUUGGAGCCCUUGCGUUGUCUGCAUUUAACCUUCCAGAGAUGUGAUCCUAGAUAUAUUCCAUAUCUCAUGGCUGCAGGUUAGAGCAGGGGCAAGGCACCCACAUCCUCCAUGGCAUUUCUCUCCUUCCUUCUACCAGUGCCAUAGCACUUCUCAUAGCCUAUCAUUUGGGGGAAAGAAGCUCCCUCUGUGUUCACUCUGAUGCCAUGAGCUCUGAGCAGCGUGCUCAUGUUGGCACACAGUCCCUCACCAACUCCUUCAACAACUGCCUGCAUAAGGGAUUUUUUUUUUUUUUUGAUUCAUAGUAUUUAACCAUGAAUAUUUAAAAUCUCUGUUAAAUAGGGUUGUUAUACAGCUUAGAACAACAUAAAUACAAGUGUCUGGGCUUUACUUUGGAUCCAGGACAGCAGAAGUGCUUUACCUCUGAUGGAAAGUGCACCACUGAGUGAGGUGACGCUCAGUCUCCUGACCUUGGAACAGUGCCUACUUUUAGACUUCCAGUAACUCAGUAUUUUUCAGCUAAAUCCCUGCUUGCACCAGAGGAGCAAUCCUUUUCUAGCUGUGCUUCAACUGCUCACCUGGCACAUUCCCGCUCUGCUAGCUGCAGUUCUGGGAAGUGAAAAGAAACCUGAGGAGGUAAAAAGAAUGAAAAAAAAAAAUGAAAUUUGGAUGUAGAUACUGUGCAGGAAGUGAGGUGACCCCUAAAUCAUAGAAUUAUGGAGUCAUAGCACCAUUAACAUUGGAAGAGACCUCUGAGAUCCCCAAGUCCAACCCCACCCCAUCCCACGGUGCCCACUGCCCACGUCCCUCAGUGCCACAUCUCCACACUUCCAGAACACCUCCAGGGACAGUGACUCCACCACCUCCCUGGGCAGCUGUGCCUCUGCAUCACUGUUCUUUCUGGAAAGAAAUUUUUCCUAAUAUCCAAUCUUAUCCUUCCCUGGUACAACUUAGACAGCUGCCUGCAUGGUCCUGUUGAGCUGAGGCAGAGCUUGCCUUGGCCAGGCCUUUCCCAUUGCUCAGGGGAUGCUGAGGCAUUGAACAAGCUCCGAGCUCAGCAGGUUCUCUGCUGUUGCUCACCCAUGGGAUUUAGGGGAGAUGCAGGUGUCCCCUACAAGGGAGGAUGGAGAACAGGAAGACUGUUUUAAUUUUGAGCUCCUGUGAGUCACUUCAUUAGCCCUGCCUCUGCUUGACCCUCCUGCUGUUAUAUCAGCCUGACUGUUUAUUUUCCUCAUAAAACUAAAACAAGAUCGAUUGCUUUGUCCCGAGGCCCUUUAUGUGUCUUGGUGCCCACUGCAGCCCUGCCGUUAGCAGCAGGCCUAAUGCAAAUUGAAUCUUUGGGAAACGGGCAGUUUGGAGCUGCCCAUCUUCCUCCUCUUUCCUGCUUAAGUUUCAUCUAUUGCAUUUAAAAUAGAAACUUUAUCUAUUUAUUCUAAACAUAAAUAUGCAAUUUUCUUGCUGUCUAUAUGUGCACGGCGUGUCUCUGUUGUAGACACAUAUAUGCGAUCAAUAACCAUCUCUUGCUGGGGAUUUAAAUAUUAGUUUUCCAAAUCCAGUCUAGAGCACCAGAUUUAUUUUUAUGAAAAUAUACCCUUUCUUGCUUAAGGAGGGAUAUUAAUUAUAGAUGCAAACCCAUAAAUCUUCCGGAUUUAGGUGAGAUAUUUGCUGGAUUAUAAAUAUGAAUUGGAGAUGAGGGUCUUGCUCUUCCUAUUAUUACUAUUAUUAUUACUUACUGGUUAUUAUUUCGGUGUGAUCAGUAUCUUCGGGUGGGUCAAAUAUUGCUGGGGAAUGGGGAGCUGAGCCUUCAGAGGGUGCGCAUGCUGAAUUCAUUAAAAUGUUUUCUAUUCCACCCUUGCUCUCCACUGCGCUUCGCAGCCCGGUGAGUCAUUAAACACCCUGUUCAGAUCACUUCCCUUUCUCUCCAUCCUUCUUUUGGUACCUGUUUUCAUUGUGCUGCUUUUGCCAGAUCAUAUCAAGCUCCCUAGUGUUUAUUAAUAAUGUCCCACAUGCUAUUGACAAUGUGCUGUUGUUUCCGAGGGUCUGCUUCAAUACCAGUCUUGGGCAGCAGUGAAACCAGCGGCCAUCAGAGAGCCCAGACUCACCCAGGGCUUUGGCACAGGUAAUAAUAUUCUGCUCCAUUUAUUAUGACAAAUGUGGGAACAAAAGUAGUGUGCCACAAGGACUGAUCCCUUCCAACUCAAAAUGUUCCAUGACUCUAUGAUAAUUGCACGUUUCUUGCUAAUUCAGUGCAAACUGAGAUAGGAGUAAGUCACAGUGAUUCUCCCAGCCUUCACCAAGUGCUCCAAAGCCAAGAGGCAUUUCUAAAUCCCAGUUAACAGGAGUUAAACGGAAGACUUCACCAAGAACCUCAGGGCUUCCUGGUUCCCUGCUGAUCCUUCAACCAUGGGAUGCAAAAGGUGAGAUGCUCGCGGGCAUUAGCAGCAGCAAGAGGCAUGGAGCAAGGCUGGUGUGCAUCAAGAGAGGUUCCUGCAGGCAGCUCUGGCAAGUGCAGCAAUGUAGGGGGCUGCUGACCAAAGGAAAGCACAUGGUGGGAUCUCAAGUUGAUUUAAUGUAACACCGUACCCUGAAAUUAAUAGGACCUUGCAUGCCAGGACUGAAAAGAUAGGGCACUGUGUAAGGUCUGCUUUUUUAAAUUAGAGUCCCCUGCUUAAAUAAAUUAAGUGAGCUGUCAGUAUAUUAAAUGAUUUAAUGCCUUCUCCAGUUUUGCAGUGGAAUCCUAAUGAAAAUACUCUUCAGUAUAAAACGCUGGAUAAAUUAAAUGGUGAAGUGUUUUAAUAAAUGGUCUGUUGUUAUGGUGAACCACAUUAAAGUAAUGUUUAUCUCUAUGGUAAUGAUGUUGCCCUAGCUUUAAAACCAUUUCUGCUGGUUCAGGCUUCUUCAGAUAAAAUAUAAACGCUGAGCUGUUGUCCAGUUUCAAAAGCAUCUGCACAGUUCCUGGACCCAAACCUGAAAUCGAUGGCAGUCGUGCUGGCUGGCCAACACAGAGCUGGAUUCAAUGGAUUCAAGAGCAGAGGACUCUUGCACAUUUGCUCUGUGAUGUCAGCAGGGGGAUGAGGCAGAGCCUCCAAGCUGCAGGGGUGAGGCCCUACACGUACAUUGGGACGAGUUUGGGUAUUAAUGAACUACAGUGGAACAGUGAGUAGGCUGUGGAGGGGCUUAAAAUCUUUGCUGAUCUCAUUGCAGGUUAAGAUAACAAAUUAUAUCUCUUUUAUAUCCUUUAUAUAAGGUAAAGGCCUGCUUUUAAAGGUAAAGACAUUACGAGAAGAUAAAGUCCCUUUUAUAUAAAUUGGUUAUAAAACAAUUUUUAUUUUCUUGCUUUUGGAUAUCAGUUCUUAUUUGACCUCUUUCACUCAUCACAGUAUUUCUUUGGAAGGAAAAUUCUCCCCUCAUGCUAUUUUCAGAGCCUGAUAACCCAGAAAUAACAUCUUAGUGCCCAAAUUAAUUUUACAUUAAUAAUAAUAGUAUUAAUAAAAUAUACCUGUUUGUCCCCAGCUGCACUGAAAGAUGUCACUGGGGCUUACAAGACAGCCCCCAGGAGAAGCCAAAGGGUAGUUCUGGAGAUGCCCAAGAGUCGUCUGCACCAAAGGCUUUUGUGAGGAACUUCCAUGAAAGGAGAAAUUCCAGCAGCUUCUGAACCACAGAGCCAUUCCUCUGGCAGAGCUGAGGUGCCCAUGAGAGUCACCACUGAGGCUGACCACGAUCCAAAAGGAGGGGGUCGUCCCACUCAGUGCUCAGGGAUGAUGUCUUAAAUACUCAUAAUUAAGGCCAUCAAGAAAUCAGGGGAGGCGAAUCCUGUUCAUGCCGUGUGGGUCUCUGAGUGUUCAUUUAAAGAGUGAUCUUUGGUGGAUCUGAGAUAUACAUAAAAACAAAACAAAAACAAAUCCAUAUGAAUUUGAAAUGGUGAAAGAUGGUGAAACUGCUUCUUAGGAAGUGGUUCUGGUGUUGGUUCUGUCCGUUUAAGAAGUUCACCUGUCCCAGCAUGAAUUUUGCAGUGUCAGCUUGCAGUUACCGGCUCUUUUUAUUGCUCUGUCUGCUCGAUUGAAGAGCUUUCCAUUUCUGUCUGUCUGAGCACAUCUGGAUUGUCAUUAAGCCAUCCCUUAACCUCCUCUUUGUUAAGCUAAGCGCACUGGGGUCCUUGAAUCUGUCACUAUAAGGCAUGUCUUGCAAUGCUUCCGUCAUUCUUGUGUGCCUCCUCGGAGCCCUCUCCCAUUCAUCAACAUCCUUCUUGAGCUGCAGACACCAGAAAUAGCUGCAGGGUCCCAGCAGAUGCUACACCAGAGGUAUUCCACUCUGCUAUUUGUUUGAGCUUCCAGCGCUGUGCUAUAGGAUCCCUCCUCCCCCUGAAUGCCAUGAAAUUCCAGUUCCCAAGUGUGGCUUUGUAUGUGCCUGUGUUGAACUGGGUGGUUUUUUCUUCAAUCUGACUCAGGAGAAGGCUGAUCCUCAGCCCCACCAUGAUCCAAAUCGAACUCAUCAGCGAACUUUGAUUGUAAUUAGUUUUGAUUUUCUACCAUUUUGCUAAAAGUGAUGAACUGAAACACAGCCACUUGUGAUGAGUGUCUGCACGCAGCCGUACAUUUAAACAUAUCAGUGGGGUUUUCAUCCGUUUAGUGCGUGCCGUGUUGAUUUUACAUUGUUUUAGCUUCCUAAUAAAUGAGACAACAUUAAGUCAAAUGCCUUGCAGAAGUCAAACGUAACAGUGUUGAUGAAAUGUACUAAAUCAAUCAAAUCUAUAAUCACAUUCUUGAAAAAUUAUAUCAAUUUCAUUUAAUAAGAUCUAUUUUCCAUUAACUCAUGUUGAUUGUAAUUAAUUAUUCUCCUUAAAUUGUUAUUAAUCAAGUCCCCUAUCAGCUCUUCCAUUAUUUCUCACAAAAUCAACAUCAGAUAAUCAGAUUUAUAAUUACGAGCGACAUUCCUACGCUGGCACAAAGUCAGCAGCACUCGGGUGUGCUGUGUUCUUGGAGUCCGGGGCACGAGUUGGAGCUGGAGGUAUUUCACACAGUCCUAUGACAUUGCUAAUUUACUUAGCUUUUCCCCCGAAAUUAGAGGAAUUAAAUAUUUAGUGUCUGCCUUCUAUGUAUUUUCUAUUUAUCAUCUGCUAUUCUGUCUAGACAACCACACUCAGCCACUGAUAUCUAAAAACCACAUCCCUACUGCUCUUGGCUCUGCAAGCAGAGGUCUCACCUGCUGGCCUUCUGCUUGCUGUUGGUUAACACAUUUUCCCUUUGUGUGAAGGUAGACCUCCCCUUCCUCCCCCCCGAGUCUCUGCUUUAACCAGAAUAACCUUCUCUCUCUGAGCGCUGAGAUUUCACUAGAUGCCCUAAAAGCCAGAGUGCUUUUAAACAACGAGUUGCCAAAUAUCACACACAUUUUCUCUUCAAAAUCCUCCAAGUGACCUGGCUUACAGUGUUGAAAAGAAAAAGUGUCUGCUAUCUGCUCAGGCUUCGUUCUGUCUGAGCCCUGCACAUAAGAUGGAAAUGGCAUCCCCUCUGUGUUGGCUGUAAGUGGUUUUUAGAGCUGCGAUCAGCUCUUCAGCUGUCAAGACCAUCCUGCAGAGAAUCCUCCUGAUUUUGGUUAACAACGGCAUUUAUAAAUUCCCAAAAUUGGCAACACAAGCCCUCCAGCUCACAGCAUUCAAGUUCAGGUUUUCCAAGACACUCUAUAGGAAUUUUCCUUAAAUGUUUCUGGUUUCUGGUGAGAUUUGAGCAGUGUCAUCCAUUGGCUUUUACUUGUACUUGAGGUCACUUUCUCUUGAGCUCCCAGUGACUUGGAUGGCAGCAAUGUCACUUCUGGUAUUGAUUGUCCCUCCUACACCUUCUUUGCCCACUCAGUUUCUUUUUUUUGCAAAUAGGUUCCAGCUAUUGAUUUUAAUAUUCCAGGCACAUGGAUUUUCUCCCCAAGUUUAAGUCAUGCUCUCCAGAUAGAAUUUGUACUCAUAAAUUAGUCGUUCCCACUCUUUUUUAUGGCUCAGCCUUCCUGCGCUACCGUAGAGGCAAUUAAAGUUCUUCUCCUCGCAUCCUUUCGUGUGUUCAUUAGCUCUCUCCUCAUCAUUUUCUUCCUUGAGCCAGAGACAGGGACGGGUGCGGAAUGAAUUCUGUUUCCUCAUUGCUUUCCAGUGCCUGUAUCUCCAACCCAGUCCAAGCAUCCCUCCCAGCAGAAAAGCUAGAGCCCAAAGAGCCAUUGGGAGCACCACAGCAGAAGGGAAAACCUUUGCUGAUCUCAGCACUGACAGGUUUUGGUGGCAAUGAGCUGAUGGUUGGACUAGAUGAUCUCAGUGGCCACUUCCAAAUUCUACAAUUCUAUGAUUUUGGGGUCAUCAUGGAUGUAGAAUGAUUCAAACUCCAUUGUGCAACAGUAUCUGAUCUCCCAAAUUCUCCUGGCAGCCAAUUCCCCAGCUCAGCCCUACUGCAACUGCUCCCCAGACACACUGAACCACAAGGAAAAGCCAUUUGGAUUGUGCUCUCUUGCUUUCAUGUCCAUGGGGGAUUUCCUGGGAUUUUGCAAGCCCCAGGGAUUGAGGGCAAAGCCAACAGAGAAGCAGACCUGUGCUUAGGGCACCUGCACAAGCUAGCCUGCAGGCUUACAGCUUCACUGUGGUUUGAGGUUUGAAGGUUUCCUAUCACCUGCUCAUCUCCUGCCUUUAUGUAACAACAAUAACAAAACACGCAAAAAUAUCCCUCAGAAAAUCCAACCGUCUUUGCUCUUGCAGGUCCUGAACUGUUUGCCUCUGAGGGCAGAACACAGACUUUGGAUGGUUUUGAGAAGUCUCCUGUCUGGGUGGUUUUAUUUAUAUCUGAUGCAUUUUAAUGCAGAAUGGGCAGAAAUGAGAUGCUUCAGAGCAAAGUCAAAGCAGAGCAGUUCUGCAGGUCCGGCCCUCGCUGGGCUCAGUGGUGGGAUGUGCUCAUCACCCCCUCUUCAAAAUAACCCCCCACGUCUCUUUUCAUCCAACAAAACAUUUAGGUGCAUAUCUGUGAGUGAAGGAGUACAAGAGAAGGAAGCAUAAGGCUGUAAAAUAAACACUCUACAAAAUGCCUCCAGGUUGCUCUAAAUUAUGCAUCCUUCCUGUUAGGAGAUGUUCAAGGUUGUCUUUUCCUGUGAACAGCGCUCCUCCUGGGUCCUCACCUUCAUUUGCUGGGAUGCCUCUGCUCUGGGCUUGCAGUUACGUCUCCUUCCCUUUCGCUGCCUUUACAACCAUUUCUUUGCCGCCUUUUAUAAUUCAGAACACGACAAAUGAAUUCCCACCUCAGCUCAGCACUCAGAUGAUGGGAAAGGGAUAAACGGUCCCUGGUAGCAGCUCAGUGCACGGUGAGCAUCACUGCAGCCCCGUGCGGUGCUUUUUCCCUGCGCACAUGCAGGACAGACGGGCGCAGGAGUGGAGCGAUGCUCACAGCCCCAGUCCCUGGUGCAGAGCUGGGAGCAUCAGUGGGGCAAACCGUGGCCAAAAACACACGGACUCUUCUGGGAAACGGCCCAACCCUCUCAUUUCUGUAAUGUGAUUGGCACAUGGCUUGGUUUUGCGUUCUGUUUCUAAAGGAUAGCUGCUAUUCUUUUUAUUAAAACCUUUAAAUUUCAUUAGUUUGCACUUACCAAAAUAAACCUGGCAUCACUAGUGAGCUCUCCUGCGGCCGUGCCAUCGAUCUGAUGCAGCCCCGCGUCACACCUGGCACGGUGACAGCCGCGUCCCUCCAUGCUGAACAGAGGCACCCGCUCUGCCUGGAGGCUGAGAGGCAUUUUCAUGGAGUUCUGUGAUGAGGAACUUUUUGCUUCCAAGGUUUCAAGGGGGAAAAAAAGAAAAAAAAAAAAAAAAAAAAAAAAAGAGAGAGAGAGAGAGAGGUUGAUUGUAAAUUUAAUUCCUGUAUCUUAGUCAUUUCUGGGCCAUGGGUCAUUAGGCACACAUUAGUGCUGCUGGGCAUUUUUCACAGGGGCUGCACCAGCAGAAAGGAGCUGGGUUUUGCAAAGCCAAGGGUGUGAGAGAGAUCCGUGUGCAUGAGAAAGCUCAGUCCUGUGCUCAGCCCCGCAGUGCUGGGAAGUUCCCCCAAAUACUCCCGGUGUCCGUCUGUCCGCAGCCAUGACAAACAGCCCGGGGAAGCAGGCUCCUUUAAUGGGCUCCAGCAUUUUAUUUAUAGCCCCUUCGAAUAAGUGCAGCUGAUACUUAAGAUCGGCGGAUUUAAUGACAGCGAGCUGGCGAAAGGCCAGGGCUGCAAAUAGCGCCGCUAAAAGUCUUCUCCGCUAUAAAAUUUGUUUAAUGCAAGAAAUCAUCCCGUGCAGGGUUUUUGCCUGGCAUUUUUAUAAUUAGCGGGUGAAAUCGCCAUUUCGCCCCUACGAUCCGCCAGCACUUUAUGGGAUGGGGCUGCCUUGGAGAUGGAUUGUUGUGCUGGAAGAGGCGCUGAAGCUUUGCCACUCCGUAUCAUCCCACUCUUCCUCGGGGACACCCAUGUAUGCCCACUCCCAGCACCUUUCCCUUCCCUCCAGGUGUCAUCUCUCCGAGGUUUGACCAAGAGCCCAUCACACUAAGUGGUAAGGCAGCACGGCUGGGAGCUGGGACCUUUGGGAUCUGUAGACAUGCACUGAAGCCACCACACUUGGUUGGUGUUUGAUAACUUCGCCGCUUUUCACUAAGGAGCCCUCAGGACCUCCCCAUGGCAGUGGGCAGCAUCACCACCCCAUCCCUGGACAGCCACGAGCCACACAGGAUUUCUGCCUGAAUUAACCUUCAUUAUUCAAAUCCCACCCAGAACACGGGAGCUAAAAGCUUUCAGCUGGAAUUGCUCUACCGUCUGCCCCAUGCCAUGGGCAGGGAGGAAGGAUGACGUGCACCAGGCUUCUUUACGGGAGAUGCUGCUGCCUAAAUAAAAAAGUCAAGUCCAUAAAGUGAAUAUUAUUGUGCUACCUUGUUUCUCCCCAGCAGUGAAGCAAUGCAUGCCAAUGGGCAGAGCGAAUAGGAGGAAAUAGUUGGGUUGGUUUUCCCGCUCCUCGUGAAUUGGGGGACAUUUUGGAAGGGGCACAAAGGUUUCGGGGGCAGUUGAGUGCUUUUGUUUUCCUUUUCUAAAUAAACCACGGAUCUGCACUGCCACACACUCCCCGUGGGGUCACGAAGUGUGCUGCAGAAUAAAAACGGAGCUUUCUGUGAUAGUGCACUUGCCCUUCAGAGCCGCUUGGAUUGCAUCAAAGGGCAAAUUGUUUAAAUAUAAUUUUCCUGAUUACUGAAUAGGUCGACCGAACAGGAUAUGAAAUGCAAAGGCUUUUCUCAUCUUGCUCUUUGCAUCAUCCUAGGGCACACCUCGCUACAGGUGCUGCCUGUUGGCUCAAGGACACUUCCAGGCGGCAGAAUAUCAAAGGAGCAGGGAUGGACAGCCCAGUGCAUCCUGCACAUUUUAAAUUGCUUAAAAAGACUCUUUUGCAAAGGGAGUCUGAGGCAGGGACCGAAAUCAGUGCUCAGCAUGUGGAUUAGACAAACAGAGUGGUCAUUAGCGCUGAUUGUCAUUGUCACACAAGCACAGACUGUUAAUUCAGCCCAGGAGUCAUUAGAAACGAGCCUCAGCGGGGAGAGGGGUUGGUGUUGGUGUAGAUGCUGGAUGGUGGCUCUGCUGGCUUGGCAGAACAUGAAGGAGACCCCUGAGAUCCUACACUGCUCCGGUUGUAAAUUCCAAAUGGAAACUCCCAGGAAUUUGCCAGGAAAAGGAUAAUCACUCAUUAUUCUCAUUUGUGGAAAGCUGUUUAAACCCAGCCCUGCUUUUCUCACCCCAUUCCCAAGCUGAGCUCAUCACCUUUCUGAGAAGCCACGCUCUUCCAGGACAGUGUCUCCUCUUCCAGUGAGCUUUUGCCCUGGCUUUUCUCCUGGGUCCAUUUGGGAGGGUUCCAUCUUUGCCCCAGUGCUUUUGCCAGUGGCUGCCACCAUCCAGAGAGAUAUUCAGCCUCAAGGAGUCCCCAGCAAAGAGCACCCACUGCCUUCCAGCCUCACCCCAGCAGCAGCGUUGAGGUCCCACAGCUGCAGAGCAGCGCCCGUUGUGCUGUGCGGGUGCCCCUUUAUUGGAGUUCCUCCCACCACGUGCUUGUAAUUUAUUUGUAUUUCCAGCAGAGAUAAUUGAGUUAUCAAUUCUGUGCUCUUUUGGGCCAGAAGCAAAGAGAUCAGAGAGCUGUUUUAUACACCUAAUUAUAGAUUAUUUCCCAUAGCUAUAAAACCACAGAGGGACAGAUCCAGAGAGCAUCCUUUUCAUCUCCACUGACUUUUGCCUUUGCUCUCUCAGACUCGGAUCAGAAGGGCCUCCAGACAAAACAGUUGUCAAAAGCAAGGGCUCCUUAUCUCCUCACAGGACAAAACCUCUCGGCAUCCCAGUAGAGACCGUGCACAGUUGCUUAAAGAUCAAAUUCAACUUAUACUUAACCAAUCUGCUUAAGCCUUUAGCACCUCAUUGAGUCGUGCUGAGAUUUAUUCCGUUUCUGCACACUUUGGCUAUAAUCUGGUUCAUGACAAUGGCCUGGGGGUCUGCUGAGGAUGUAAAAAAUUGAUUUUCUUUGCCACAUGCAGGCUUUGUGGGCUUGCAUUUGGCAUGGCCCCUCAUGCCCCUGCUAGCUCCUAUGCUCAGCCUGCUCCCUCCUCCCCAGGCAGCUCUGAGCACCCUGCAGCAUCCGCAGAUCCCGCAGAGCUGCAGUGCAGAGCAGGGGUUGAGGUCCGGCAUACCCGAAUUUUCUAUGUAUGGAAAGAAAUGGGAAGUGUCCGUGCGUCGGUGUUAAGUUUCUGGUGGUGACACGCAGAGGCCAUCCGAGAUGUAUGACCUAGCAAAUGUAUUGUAACGCACACAUCACAUUCGUUCUCUGGGUAAAUAGAUAUUGUCUAGGGUACAUUACAUCUGUGCCUUCGUGUUUAAUUUAAUGUAAGUGAACUGCCUUAAUUUCUCCAAAUUGUAGUAAUAAACAUAACGUUAACGGUGAUACUGCUAAUAAUUUAUUUUGCAAGCGAUUAAUCAACAACAAACUCUUUUAAUUACCUGUUCUGAAAUGUCAAACUCUAAACUAAUUACAUGUUAUUACAUGAAUUCAUGUAUAUGUAUACACAAAUACGAAUUCCAAGGGUAAUUAAAAUGAAUAAACCAUCAGAUUUGGUAAAAUCAUGCAGCUGAGAGAAGUUUGCUCUCCACUGCAUUUCUGCCUCUUUGCAUUUCAUCCUCAGCACAAAGGGAGCUAGAUUCCAAGGCUCUGAGCGAGUCGUUUGUGCUUCUGCAAAAAAAUAUUACCCACAGAAAGUGGCAAACCCCGUGGGAUCUAUGCUGAGAACCACAAGGAAGAGAGGAAAGCAGCUGUGCUGCUCUGCUGGGGGGAGUACAGAGUGUGGGGCUCAUUUGGGUGCUCCCUGUGCAGGGGGUGAAACCAAGCAGGACAGAAGUGGGUGGUGUACAUUUGCUGUACUCAAUAAUUGGCAACGAUUUUUGGAAGGAGAUUGGGGGUGAAAUUAACAGAUUUGGGGCACGACCAAAUCUGUUCUCCAUUUUGUGUCCUUGUUGAGUCUCUCAGUGCAGGCACAACACAGUGCUCUUUGCAACACCCUGGUGACCCCUAGAUGAGACUUGGAAGACCACUUCUUUGCACUGGCACUCCAGACAUCAUGGCCAAGUGCCCCCAGCAAUGUGGGGCUGUAUGCCAGUGGGUCACGAAAGGAUGGAGACCACCAGCUUGGAGGGUCUGGGAAUGAAGCCUUUAAUUCAGGGGUGGACACUGAGGCAGUCCCAAUGGCUUGCAGCAUGGGCUGGAAGAACAGGAUGAUUAAUGAGAGCAAUGGCACGAAGGAGCCAGGAACUAAGUAAUGAGACCUUUAUUUGAUACAUAAUACAGCCGGGGCCCUCUAUAAAGAGAAUACCAAGAGUAGGGCUAAGUUUCACAGUUCUGGGAAUGUAUCAGGAAGGGGGAAAGCUUUGCUGACUUUGCAGCCAAACGCCUGGGCCAUCCGCAAGUGUUGUUCGCAGUGAGCUUGGGACAUGUUAAUUUGGUCAUAUAUCUUCAGAUGGUGGCAAGAUGCCCUGACUUUUGAUUUACUGUGCUGAGUGGGUCUGUGUGAUGUUGUGGGUUUAAAAUGAGGUGUCCAGAGCCUGAUUCAGUCACAGGAUCACUGAAUUCCAGCUGGGAGAUGAAGAAGCCGUUAUACACACACAACAAGAACUUCCAGCCAAAAAUUACUUAUGGUUUCAAUUAAAGGAGAAGAAGUUGCUGAUUGUUUAGGUAUGGAUGUCAGAAACACAGCAGUUAACAGCAGAGAUGAAUGAGAGAUAGUGAGGUGAUAACUUAGAUAAAUUGGUAUCUCAUCCAUAUUAAGGAGACAGCUCAUCCUCUGGUGCUGCUGGAUGACAUGAAGAGUGGAGUGUAUAUGGAUACUAAAAAACGUUGGUCUUAAAGUUAAAUCCCCAAGAACCAUCAGAAAUAAGUCUCAGAAGCCAAAGUGAGAUCUGAUGCACGCUGCAAAAAUAUGCAGUCUGUCAGGGAACGCUGCUCUCUCCAUAUAACUUCCACCGUUUGUGGGACAAUUAUAGAGAAAAUGAUACUGUGAUCUGUAAAGCAGUUCCUGCAGUGGUUUUAUUCACUAACUCGAUGCCACGCAUAAUCAUAGCCAGUAACAUCUCCAGAGGUGUGUGCAUAAUAGAGAGACAUCAAGUCAAUGAGUCAAAACAUCAGAAAAUAAAAUUCAGAUGAACAUCACUUGCAGAAAUUCUAUCAUCUGUCAUUUAACGCUGUCUGAAGACCUCCACGUUGAAAUAAGGCGUGGAAACCAGAAGUUACCCCAGGCAGCAGUCCUUAGGACCUGCACGGACUCAGGGCUUUCUGCAAGUUGGGUUGAGUGCCAAAGAAGUUCUCUUGCGAUCUUAAAACUCAAGCACCCAAAAAACACCAUAGAGGGGAAGGCAGGGAGCAGGGAGGAUCUGUCCUGCCGUGUCCCCACCUCAGAUCCUGCCCAGCAUCACCCAAGCAGCCGCUGCUGGGAGCGGAGUUGCUCCUGGAUCACCUUAAGGCUAUUUGCAGCUCUUGCUGAUGCCCUUUCAAUACCCAAUCCCGAAACUUUUCAUGCGAGGAAGCUUGCAGGAUGACAGAUUGCACCUUAAAACAAAGAGGUAAUAGCUCUUAGGUCCAGAUCUGUUCUUGGAACUAAAUUCACUGCAGAAGAAGUGUUUCUGCACAACUGCAUAAUGCCUCAAAGUGGCAUUUUACAAUCUUUAAAUUCCAACACCGAUGAAGAAUUCUGCUUUAAACUACUGCAGCAGCCCAGCCCCCCUUUAUUUAUGAGUAAUAGGCUUUUCAUUUAGAUUUAACUACAGAUUCGAGUGGUUUCCAUGUGCCAGGGCUCGGAGUCACACCAGUGUCUCCUGAGGUGGCCGUGCUGUUUCCACAGAGUCACUCAGGAUCCCCACCAAACCUGUCUUUGCAUACAUACGUGUGUAUUUUAUAUAGAUGUACACAUGCACUUCAUUUUUAAAAAGACAAAGUUUUUAUUCCAGGCUUCAUUUUCCUUUAAACCGUAUGAAGCCAAAGUUCGAAAGGAUGACCCCAAAAUUGCCAGUUUGAUUGUAAUUUCCCCCAAAAGAUUUUGGGUUGUAGGUACAUAGAGAACGAUGGCUUUGCUUCCCCCUUUCUGCUCAUCAUCCCAUGCAACGCUGAUGUGCCAGGAAGCGUGGAUGGGAUCAGGGAGCUUGGUGAGUUUGCCACAUCAGUAGUCACUGAGAGUGCCUGAAGUUUCAUUUUUCAAUGGAAAGCUGCAGUGAAACGAGUAUUUUGCUACUCAUCUUGUUAUUAUUCAUCAGUGCUUCCAAGCACCUCUCAGCCCUUUGUUUCUUGGGAAAGGCAUGGUGCUUAAAGGGGCUGAAAGGUGGAUUUUGUGGAAAGCCCAACCCACAUCUUUGAUCCCAGCGGUUUUGUAAAGCAUUCGUUUUGCUCGCUGGGAAAAUCUCUGCCCUCCCCACUCCCUCACCUCCCCCUCUUUCCCCUCCACCUAAGUUACCUCGUCUGGAUCCGAAGGAACGCUUGCCAUCCUUUGAAGAGGUAGUCUCGUCCGAAAAAUCAAUAGUCAACAUUGUCUUUAAAUAGUCUGACAUUUACCUUUACAGCAGUUUUCAUUUCUUUCCCAGAUUGCUCAGACGUUUGUAUUACCCACACACUACAUCCCUGAUCUCUCGGCCGGGAGCUUUGCACGGAUGCAGCCCCGGUGCUGCAGAGCGGCCACCAGCAAGGAACUGCAGCACGAUAAUUAACAGGACGGGAGCUCACUAAUAGAAGCAUCUUUAACUAAUUUAUGGAAGACAUCAGGUGAGAAUAAUUACAAGCAGAAGGGUAUUGUAAAUCCCUGAAGAAAAUACACUUGGAAUGCAGUUUUCCCAACAAGCAAAUCUGAAUGCUAGCCCAAAGGUCAGAAAUAAAAAGGCUGAGAGCUUCAGCUCCCCGAGCAGGCACCUCUCCGAUCCCUUCUUGUCAAGAAAUUGUCUGGGGGUUCAUUUAGAAAGCUGCUUGUUCAGGGCAGGGCCAUUUGCAAUCUGGGAAAGUUAAGCAAAUUAGCAGAAUUAUUAGGUAAGAGGCAAUUCUCCACAGCCUGCAAGGCAACCGCUUGUUAAAUGAGCUCACACCAGAGAGUUGCACUGAUCGAGUGGUGUUUGCAGAGACGGGGCUGUGCAGGCAUUUGCUCUGAAAUAAUACUGCUGUAUUCCCCUGGAAAAAUUAAAAAAAAAUGGGAAUUUGUGCAGGCUGAGCUGGAAGAUGCCUCUGUCUUCCAUACGCAUUCCUGCUUCUCUGCUCCUUCUGCUAUAAUAAAUAUCAUAAUCCUAGCAAAUGAGAGAAGGAGAUUAACCCGACACCUUUAACCCAGUUACUGCUUAAAAUAGGGAGCAGUGUGGUGCCACGAGGCCCCAAAGCAGGUGGCUCUGCACCCGCUGUCCCCUGGGGCUCAUAGGGACAGCUGUGCACUGCAGCCCCGCUGCUCUGUGCAGUGUUGGGAGUGGGAUCCAACUCAGGUCCUGCAAGGAGCCCACCCAAGGGUGGCUCACACUGCUCACUUGUUUUUAUAUACUCUUUGCCUAUUGAUUUGAUAUUUUUAUACCUUAUACAGUGCACUUAGCACAGAAAAAAAAAAAUGGAUUAACCAAGUAAAUGUGCUUUAUUAGCGGAUCUCUGAUGGAGAAUGAUGUCGGUUUUCCAUUUAAAAGAUGCAUCGGAUUCAUCCACUCAUGAAUCAAUUAGUUCAUGCUUGAGGACCUCCUAACAUGCCACAUAAAAAACUCCCAAUGUCAAACUGCACGCUGGGUGGAACAACCAAGGGUUUCAAAUGAAAAAAGUGCAUCACUGGGAAACCUUUGGCUCUUCCACCACCACUAGGAUGGAAGCACUCUGCCCAACUCUUAGUUAACACAUUCUUUCUGUUCCUUGGUUUCUUAAAAUCUUUCUUUUUUUCAAGUUUUUAUUGACAGCUUUACACUCCUCCCUCUGCUAUACAAUGGAGACGGGCACAUAUCGUAAGCCUUUCCAAUGGUAGUUUUGGGGUCAGGCUGAUUAGAUUUGGGAAGUGUCAAUUGUUGAAUGCUGUCCUCCUUCUGUCUGAGACUAACAACUCUCCCUACUCAGAGGGUUGGCCCUCUUUCUGUCCUUCCUGAGGUUUAGGGCUCAUUGGUCCAUGCUCCACACCAUGAAAAGGCACAUACACUUUCCUAGUGAUUCACAUUUCUGCUUAGAUAAGAACCAACAGGCUCCAUCCCACCCUGGAGCCCCUGGGACUAUGUGGAAGGUCGCAGUGUUUAUUUUUGGUCUUGUCCAAUUAAAGACAAUGACCUGGAGUAGAUGAGAUGCCUGGGCAUGCAUUCAUAUCACAGGCAUAAUGCAAGAACCGUAGGCAUUUAAAUGGGAAUUCUUUCUCACCCGGUUAGACCGAUGCGUAAGGAAAUAAUCCAAGUGGGGCAUUGACAAGAUAUUUUUUGUUGUAAGUCUGCAUGCUAAAACCCCUAAAUAAAAGGAUUUUACUCCUUGAGAGAAAGAGGAAAGGCUAUGCACACCCAGCCUGAGGUGUCACUACAACUCAAUGGGAGCAAUGCACGAGCACUGAGCUGCUGGGAUGGCUGCCUGCACAUUGGGUGCCCACACUAUGUACAGAGCAGAGGGCACUGCUUAAACCUCAGUCAAAUAAGUAAACAUGGACAAGGAAGUAAAAACAGACGCACUUUUUUCUCAUUGCUGCGAAGAAUUCAGGCCAUGCAAGCACCAGGGCUGUGCAAAGAAGAGCAACUAUGUUUAAGAGCAUCCUUCUCUCUCUUGGAUGUACAUCCAACAGCAGAUAACAUCACCCAGCCCUUUCUGCUUUUGGAAACCAUGUGCAGCACAACUUGCUGCUCACAUUUAAUCCAAACUGAUGUCCUACGGCUGUCAUAUGCAUGAUUAUGGCAGUCGUUUUUAAUUAGUGAUUGUGUCAAUAGUAUUGACAUUUUCAUCACUUUUGGGGGAAGUAGAGAAUAUUUUCCAGCAGGUGAAGUCCCCUCUUUGCAGUUCUCUUCCCCUCCAGCUGCACCUACUGGAUAAAUGAGCUAUGCAUCUUAUUAAAAAGAAAGCAAGAGCAUUAAGUCUGUUCUCUGCUUAAGUACAUUACAGCAACUUAGGCAACACGAAACUCAAGAAAGGCAGAAAAGCAAAUACCCUCUGUCCUAUGGCAAGAUUUACAAUCUUGUUCUGAGUGCAAUAUUUAUUAUACGGCUUAACAGAAGCUCUGGCAGGAUGGGGGAAAUGCUGGCGGCCCCGUGACAAGGAGGAGGCGUUCAAUAGCUUGCUGGGAAGUGGAGUUGGACACGAACUGAUCAACCAGCCAUUACACUCAGUGAUAAACACCCUGCAGGAGCCAUCAUUCACCCAGGAAGAAAGAGGAAGGCAGAUCAUUACAUUUAUUGGUCAUAGUUUUUAAAGAGUCAAUAAAGACCCACUAGAAAAGACACGGUUAGGAGCAGGAAUAUAUAUAUUUUUUUCAUGUAUCUUGAAAAUACCUUCAGCUCAGUUUGCUUUCUGCCCAAUACGUCAGGGUGAAUCUUCAUCCUAGGUGAUGGUCCCAGUGUAGACGGUGCUCAUAUUGUACAGUUUUUAAUGUCUUUAACCAUCUUUAGCUUUGUACCCUGAUAGCCCCUCCAGGCUAUAUGUCAAUGCCAUCUGGGAGUAAAAGAAGAGACUUCUGCUCAAGUAACGCUGUAAUGUAGAUCUCUCGACUAAAAUUGCACUUCCUUCACUUGACAAACUGUCAGCACAGAACAAUUAUCUGCCUGUUGGUUUGCUUGUCUUUUCUUUUUUUCUCCUCUCAGAAAAAAGAAAAAAAAAGAAAAAAGAAGAAGAAAAAAAAAACCAUACAAAGGAAAAGGACCUGCAGAGUAAAAUGCCGUGGGCAAAAUCCACAUAAUCUGAUUGCUGCGCCCAGAGAUGCAUUGGUGGACCACCAAAGGUAAAAGUGGGUCUAAUGCUAAAGGAGAGGGACAAUUUCUAGCUCCUUUCUUUCGGGGAUUUCCAGAGAGGAUAUUGCUAAAUAGAAGAUUAGGGAGGAAGAGGCAAGAGUCAUUAGACCCCUCUGCUUGUCUUGAGGGAGAAACCAAAACAGGCUGGAAGAGUCCAAAGCUUGUGUCCUGCUCAACAAGCUGAAGGAACCAUUUGAUUUUUCUCUCCUGGUAAGAAAGGAUGAGGAUGAUGUCUUUAGGGAAGAGAGCCAACCUGAUUUUUUGCUAGCCAUCUUGGUGUUAAUGGGACCGUGCAGUUCAUUUGGAGAAUACCCACAAAGCAUGAGUAGAGCCCCAAGAGGUGUAAUCUAAAUUAGUGGGUAAAUUUAUUUGUGCACUUUUUUUUUACUGUUUUAUUUUCCUUCUUCCCUUCUGUACCACCUCUUUUGCCACCUCCUCUGCCUCACUUGACAGAUGAAUGUGUUCAGGUCUUUGGGACAGAUAAUGUGUCUGUAUCCCUUUUAAAAGUCCUGUACAAACACUAUGGAUAUGAGAGUGCAGGUGUAUUUAGUCUGGUGUGUUUAGCAGAUUUAGAUUAUGAAUUACUGCUCAAAAUAACGUUUGCAUUUGCUGACAAAGGUCUUUAUUACAGAAGAGGUCAAGAAAAAAAGAUUAUUCCUGCUAAUUAUCCACUGCUAUUUAAUAUUUGCACAAAAGGUUUGCAAGACAGAGUCCUCAGCAUUGCUUUGUUUGAGAAGCUAAUAGGGUUUCUAGGAAACCAGCAGGGUCUGGAGGGCCAUCAGAUCAGCCUGUUAGUGGCUAUGAAGGACAAUUAGGCCUGAUGGAGUUACAGGGUGGUUGGCUAAAGGAUGGCAGUCCCUGAGCCAGGGCCUGAUGCUGGGGCAUUCAAAGUCAGUGGUAGAACUUCCACUCAGAGCUGUGCUUUAUGAGAAGCCAACUGGAGAGGAUCCAGUUUUCACACCCUGGGUAGGUCCAUGUCCUGGUUGAAAUGGAAGCUCCAUUUGCUCCUAUGCAGAGCAUCAGAAGGGAUUUGAGGGUGAACAGGUUUGACAGACAAACUGUUGGGAGGAAUAUUAGCAAUUAUUUUUUGGCCCUGGUCUUAGGUUUGUCCCUGUAUAUUAGCAGUCCUUGGAAAGUUCCCCCAAAGUCUAACAGCUGCCUUUGGCUUGGCCCCCACAUUUCUUGCAUUGGUUCAUAGUAGCCUGUAUCGUUCUACAAAUUCCUUAUUAAGUGAAUUGAAGUUCCCAUUCAUAAAGAUAUAAUUAACCAAUAAAUAUACCUGCAGAAAUUUCCAAACGUAGAUGUCUGAAGGUGAGAUCCAUGUUUAAGCUCCUAAAUACAUGGCCCAACUUUAAAAUCCCCACAUCCAUCUUCUUGCUUCAAGUGAAAUGGAAGCUUCCUACUAUUCAGUGCUCAGAUGGCUGUGGGGUACCAAAACACAGACCAAGGUGAUGUUUUGGCACACGGGUUUAUAGAGUGAUCAAAGUAGUGUGACAUCAUUGCACAACAACUGCAUCAGAUGAUAAAAUGCCAUGUACUCCCAUAUAACAUGUUGUAUGGAUGCAUACCGCUGUUCCCAUAUAUAUCCAGAACUCUUCUGGGAGGAUUUCUGGGACAACAAAUGCUUUCAGUAUUUCCUGCAGAGGAACAUGUGCCUGGGAUCUGUGUAGAUGCCAACAGCCAAAGCCUGGGAGCCCCAUUAAAAGAAAUCACCCUGAGCUGCUGCAGCAGGUGAGCCCUUGUCCACCCAUGCUUCACCAGGAGAAAACCUUUUCAGUUACAUUCCGUGGUUUUGUUCCAGUUGUGAUGUCUUCAGCUUCCCCAUUUGUCAUUUUUUAGUAAUUUAAUUAACAUUCCGAAGGAAGAAUUUUAAUAAAGGUGCUGUUUACACCGAAUGCAGCCUUGGGGAGUGAGGGAGAAUAACCCAGACUGCAGGAGUGGGGAGCAUGCUAUUUUGGAAAGCCAAGCCACAGCCUGCUGGAAGCACCCGGUUCUACUCAACCUGUCCCAGUAUCACCCACAGCCCAAACUGCCUGUUUGUGCUGGAGAUUCCUUUCCCCAGUGCUUUCAUCCCCAUCCUUCCUUGCUUAUGAAUCUUGGGUUUGGCAGCAAGAGCUUUAGGGUGGCAUUUGCACAGCGAUUCUGCAUGCACGCUCAUUCCUGUCUUCACUGAUGCUUUCACUUGAUGCAAAAUUAGGGGGUGGGAUUGGAUAAUGCCCAGAAACCAGCACUGUUGAUUACAAAGCAAACAAUUGGCAGGGAAAGGAGUGUGCAAAAAUGCGUGCCUGCAGCUUGCAGCUGCAGAGGUGGUGACCAUUGGCUAUUUUGCCACGUGCUGUGGCUGUAAAGCUACAAGCAUCCUUCCUGCGCAUGGAUGUCAAUUUGCCCCAUGAUGCUGCAGGGAUUCAUUGGAGCUACUCACUUUCCUCUGUUUACAGGCUAAAAUAUUUGCAACUUCAUGUUGUAAGGGCUUGGGCAUCUCCUAUUAGACAAGGAUAAAGCCCUUCUGGAUGCACUGGUGGGUGUUUGUAGAGACGUUGCAUUUUUGGAAAAAAAAAAAUAAUAAUUAUUAUUUCUUUUAUAUAUUUCCAGGGUGGUGUGAAGGAGAACAUCCUCCUCCAACAGUUCAUGCACAGCUUCCCACUUAUGCAUUUUUCAGAACGAAUGCAGCAAAUAUACCUGAUCAGUGCUGAUACAACUGCUUCUCCUCCCCGACAUAUUUACACUAAGAGAUUGAUGAACCACAGGAAAAGAAGAAAAUAACAGAACAAACAACUUAUCUUCCCAGAAGCUCCCUAGAAACUUAUCUGUCAUCACUGCCCAGGCUGCAGCAAGAGGGGAUUUCAGCAUGGAAGGUAUUCUCAGUGUAUGCUGUUCACUCUGAGGGAACUUUUGACACCCAAGCAUUCUUUUCAGUGUGAGAAGCGAUUACUGCUUCCCAAAGGGGAGAGCUGGAGACCUGAGCCCUCAGCUCUGCACAUGCUCCUCAACCCCAACUUGUUCUCAGGAAAAAGUACCAGGUAUUUGCCUGAUCUAACGGAAUACAUGGAAAAAAAACAAACAACAACAACCAAACCACUAUUUGGAUUUCAGUAGGACUUCAGCAUAGACGCUUUGACACUUAAGGUGAGAAAAAUGAGCUACAGAGGAAAGCAUGGGUUUCCUUUUAGCUGAGGAGGGAUGCUCCUGCAGCUCCACUGCUCCUCAUGUCUUUGUCUUUAAAACACUCAGUGACAUAAAAAUUAGACGCACGUUAAACCUCAAAUCUAGCAAAUAGCUCCAUCUCUUAAAGCAUGUGAAUACUCCUGAUACUAUUAAGAACAUUUAACCGGUACCUGAGGGACUGGGGACCUGGAGUCAGGCGACCCAGUUUCCUACAUAAGAAAAGAGAGAAAUGUCUGCCUCCUCUAAUGCCAGGGGUUAUCCUGGGCCAGGUAUCUUUAAAAAGUAAAGAUGUGAGCAAUCUCAUAUCAGACUUAUGCAUCCAAAUGGCUCAUUAUACCAGCAGUAAUAGCUUGUGAUAGUCCUAUAGAUUUACAGUACUUAGGAAGAGAUGAUGCCCAACGUCCUUUCCCAACAAUCAUUAUGACAUGGGGAAAACCAGUGAUUUUCUUUAAGUCCAUUAGCAUAAUAUUUGUGCUUAUGAGGAUUAGACCAGCAGACACUUCACAGGUCUUUAGAAACAUAAGCCCAACACAUUCAAAUGGAGACUUUUUUUGGAACAAAGCUAUUAUCUCUCAAAUCACCCAAUAUUGCUGGCCAGUUUGGGGCAGCUGGGAAGCAGCAGGUGCUUCCACCCCAUUCCCUGCCUUGCCAGCCCCAGAAUUCCCAUUUCGUGAGCAGCUCAGCGCAUGGAACAAAACACAAGGAGGGAACUUCAGAUCAAAACGUUUAUUCUUCAUUGCAGCGGAUGAAACACAGGCACGAGGCUCCUGGGGGGGAGGUGUCUGAGCAAUCACACGUAAAACGUACAGCAUUUGCACUUGAAAUACACAGACCUGAAUCACAGCUGGGAUCAAUACAGGAGGACGAUAGAGAUUAUCAAUCUUGAGUGGUCUCCGUUACACAGAAUUGACUGGCAGCCACAUAAUGGCUCGGGCUCAGCCCACCAGUUUAGAGCCCGGGUGACAGAUCUGCAGACGCCAGCCAUCAGCAUCCCUCCUUGGCCCCUCUCACGUGCCCAUUUCUUCUGCUGUCCGGGUCAGCCUCCGAGGUGCGUCUGAGAGAUCAAUGCACAGCUACAGCUGGUUGAAGGGGACCAAAUCCAUUGAACAGUUGAUUUGGUUCCAUUUUACCAGCUUUAGCAAAGCAUUUGGCCUCACGCUCUGCAAAGCAAAGAGGGGAACUCCUCAGGGCCUUUUCCUUCACAGUCGCCAGGACCUCUUCUGAACUUGCUGCCUGACGUUGCACGGGUUCACAUGGCUUCGCUUUCAGGCAUUCAGGAUUUAUUUAAGCUUCUUAGCAGCUUUGGCUGAAGAGCGAGUCUGAAUUAAAGAGGCAGUUUUAAAAGCAGUGGAACAGUCUGCAGCACUCAGUGCCUGCCUGUAGCCUUUUAAACCCGGUGUUUGGCUCUGUUUUGAAGCUGCAUUGCUACCACAGUGUGACUGAGUAGUGUCCUAAUCCAGGUCAUUUAAUUGCCACCUCCAGCCUUCUUUCUUUCAGAUCUUUUGUCUGCUAUCCCCACCCGUGCCCUGCAUUCUGGUAACUCAAGUUUUCUCAUCUACCUUUAAAAUCAGUGCUUUCCAUGGCUUUCAGAUCUGUUGAAGACAAGCAAGGACUGUAUUUACCACCAUCGGGAGGGCGUUGAGUGGAAGAGAAAGCGGAGCAGCCCUGCAGCCUCCCAGCCCCAUCCUCUGCAAGGGCUCAGCCUGCAGCUCCCGGAGAGCCCCACGCUGUGAGCACCCACUGCUCCCAAUAACUCAGUAAAUCAGAUUUUUAAAUCACAGCAGCAGGAGCCAAUAAAGCCAGACCUCUCCUUCGUAACCCAGCGCCACGCGCAGAUAUUGCACAUCGCCACGUGCGUAACCUAUUUAAAGAAUUUACAUGCAUCGCGAGGCAAAGGUGACUUUUUCCCCCCUCUCCCUCACAGCCCACCGCACACACCACGACAUGACACCGAGAAAAAAGCACCUGUGCUGAAAGGCACUGCAUGCAGAGAUAUUGCAUGUGGGCCGGUAUUGCUGGUCCCCAAGAAAUCCAGGCUUUGCAUUGUAACAGUAAGUAGUGCAGAUCACUUAACUGCCCAGCCCCAGUACUGUAAGCUGCCUAUAAAUAAAUGCGGAGAGAGAGCGAAAGAGAGAGAGAACAUCUUUUUUAAAAGAGCUCUACAAUUAAUUUAAUCGAGUUAUCUCUAGGUACCUUUUCAAGAGACAAUCAAGCCAAGGAGCUAAAUGGAAACUUAGACAGUGAGGACCUAGAAGUAUUAAACUCAUCCUUUGGUGAGUUAUAGGAGGGAGGGAAGUAAUUAUUUACCAGAGAACGGGAGGAGGUGGAAGUGCCAGCAGUGACCGAUGCUGCACCGAGACUGCAAGCUAAACCCUGACGGGCAUAUGGAUUUUGGGAGGCAGAGCAAUGAACUGCCCGAACAUCAGCAUGGCGUGCUCCAGGUGCCCUUGUCCUGUCCCCAUCCCAUUGGUUUUGGCAGGAAGGGCGUUAAAACAAGCAUCUUCUGCUGGAGAUGAGUGCUGCUCUGUUCCCCUCGCUUUGCUUCAGGGAGUGCCCCGCAGCACAUCCGAAAUCAAUGCCAGCACGCGCCGACAUUCCGUAACGUUUUGUUUGAAUUCUCUGCAGUGAGUUAUGAGUGAGGUUUUCCUUUUUAGAAAAUUAGGUUUUCUCUUCUGGAUGCCAUUAAUCACGACUAACGAUGGCUCUGGCGGCGAGGCUUUCCCAGAACUGAGGAAAAGCAUCCCCACACCUCUGCUGCAGGGCUGCAGCACAUGGGGCUCACAGCCCCCACACACCUGGGCCCGGCCAGCAGUGCAGCAAGAGGAACUGCAGAGGCUUUGCUGGAUGUGUUCAAAGGUGUGAGCUGUGCUGAAACCCAGUCAGACCAGGCUUUGGUGUCACUUACCCUUCCUAUUGCCCUCCCAGGUUCAAGGACCGGGCGACCCAGCGCCACCAAAUUUAGGUUUGCUGUCUGAAGGUCAUCCUCAUCCAGUUGUUUCCUCCCAGCAGUGCUUGGAAUUGGGUCUCACUGGGAAGGUCCUUUCUGGUCGCUCUGUCCCUAGGACCCUGCCCAUGGGACCGACACCGCCCCAGCCAGGAAUGGCCACAUAGUGGAAUGGCACUGGGGAGAUAUAGGAACACAUCUCUGAAGCAAAUCCAAGGCAAAAUAGCAAAAUAAAGCUGUGCAUCUCAUUCCCCUCUCUGCCAGUCACUGUGUAAUGCCUCGGUUUUGCUUUUGGUCUAAGUGUCAGCUUUGCAGUUCAUGAUUACACUUCUGAGAGCAGCCAGAUCCCUGUGUUAUCAAAGCACUGCCAUGGCAAGUGGGGCCAAAAGUGGGCAACAUAAGAGAACCUGGGGCAAUGAAGACCUUUGUGCUUUAGCCUCAACAUUCUAAUGAAGAUGUUUUAUAUAGACAGCACAGAAUAGCCAAAGAAUUUAUCAACAUUUGUCGAUAUUCCUAAUGAAGCAGAAGAUUCAACAUGCAAUAGAAUUAGCCUACAAGGAACCCUUGUGUAGGGCCCAUCCUUCUGAGUCCAGAAAUCUCCUGCUUAUUCCAGUCCAAUACCCUUUUGAGAAAUGAACAUCUCUUGAAAUCAUUAUCAUUAUAAGCUAAAAGGCCAAAUGAGACAAAGUACUGUUGCUCUUCAUCUGAAUAAACAAAUCAUUUUUAGAUCAAAUGCAUUAACAAUUUAUCAUGCUAAAAUCCAAUCAAAAGGAAAAAACAACAAUACAGAACAUUGAUUUCUUACAGCUUUAUCUUAAUGAAGUGCACAUUCCCUCUGUAAUUAGCUUUGGAAGGUUUUUUUCCCUUUCCUCAAGUUAAUGUGUUAUUUGAUUUCCAUCCAAAUGUCACUAAAUCUGAGGAAUUUUCCCCAAAAUGAAGUGGCUUUUGAUAAUACAGGAAAACGUCUGCUCUCUCAUUUGGCUAUUUUUCCCCCAAACAGCCAUACUUGUACUGCAGAUGAUUCAACUUUAUUGCAUGGUGUCUUUGCGAGGAUGUUUAAAUCAAUGCCACAGUUGCUGUAUUCUGCACAAUGUGCCAUUUGUAAGCCAGAAAAUACAACCUCGGUGCUUUUAUCCUUUUUCUUACAGACAUAAAAUAUUAAUUUAAUUUAUAUUAUUACAGGGGAAAAAGUGGACUGUGUUUUAUUAACAUUUCUAAAAUUAUAGGUAUUCAACCCAAAAAAUAUGCUUCAGCCAAGGCUGGGAAGUCUUCCGCUUGGAUUUUAUUUGACUUAAUUAAAAAGCACUCAGUUCCUAUGGGCACUAAAGGAGCUGCUGACAGUGCAGUAGCCACUCAGUCUUUCAAAACUAUUACCUGAACUUAAUAAAGUGUCUAUUUAGUUUAUACACCUCCAUGAUCCCACCUGUCUCCCACCAACAUGAUGCAAUUCUUGCUAAUGGCUGGAGAAGGCAGCGGGUUGAUGGCAGCCCACAGGCACCCCAGGCAGAACAAUUCCCAUAUCCUAUUGCCUGCCCUAUCUACCUUUAAUCACAGGGUCACAGAAUGGCUUGAUUUGGAAGAGACCUUUAAAGCCCAUCUGGUCCAACCCCCCGCAAUGAGCAGGGAAACCCACAGCUCCAUCAGUGCUCAGAGCCCCUCCAGCCUGACCUUGGGUGUCUCCAGGGAUGGGGCACCUCUCUGGGCAACCUGUGCCAGUGCUUCACCGCCCUCAGCAUAAAAACCUUCUUCCUCAUAUGCCAAUAUCCGAAGCGUUCAAAUCUCCACCAUGCUUGUAAUGAUCAAUGCUAGGAAAGCUUUUUCCCGGCUGCCUCUCUGCUCCUCCACUACAUAUCUCAUUUAAAUCUUUUCUUCUUUAAAUGAUGCUGAACAGAGGACUAUUGCUUUCAUCCUGCUUCACUGAGUAUUUGCUGAAAUGCAGUGGCUAAUUUGAUAGUCCGGUUUUAUUUGGACGUACUGUCGAGACAGAGAGCAAGAUCUAUAACAGAGAAUAUAACCCCAAAUCCUACCAAUUACCAGCUUAUUCCUUAGUUAUACAGGAGACCACAAGUGACCUUAUCAAAAUCUUGACUCUCAAUAUGAACAUCUUCGUCUUAAUCCAAAUUUCACCCUGGAGCUGAAGGUCCUGCUUCAUACACAGCCUAAGAACUGCGGAGCAUCCAUUGCAGCAGGGAGCCCACCCCUGGGACAGGGCUGCCCGCCGAGAGCUGCAGCUCCUGGAACUGGCAGCAGAAAUAGUUUGGAGUUUGGAUUUUUAAACUCACACACUCAAAGAGAACAAAGCUGUUCCCUAAUACACUUUGUGCAUUUUAUGGACCGAACAAUUAAAGAGGUUUUAAAACAUCUGCUGACUGCAUAAUUCCAUACAGGGGAGUGUACUCAGCAUUUUUAAACAACAACGGGUACGAGAUACCACUUAACAGUACAAAACACCAUCAGUCCCGUUAAAAUCAAUAGAAAAUUAGAUGCUAUGAAAAUGCAAUAUGUGUCCAAUUAGUUAUAAUUGGAGCAAAUGGUGAUGCAGAUAAACUCCUGGAGUAAGAUGCAUUUGUCCGGCCCGCUCCCUGCCUGCUUUCGGCACAGCACGGUAUCGGCAGUGGCAGGCUCUGCUGUGCCCCAUAGCAUGAAGGAUGAUCCCUCUAAUACACGUAUGUUAACUGUUAUCUAAUUAUGGAGCUGCUCUGAGCCUGCAGGACUGUUUCGGUGCCCCACCGUGCGCGGUGAAAAAUGAUCCUCUGUCACACGGAAACCUCCCUGUUGUACUUGACAAAUUAUGCCAGCAAACCUGUUUAAGAACUAAAAAAUCCUUGGACGCGGUGACAGGCCAAGAAAUAUGUUGUUUGGGGACAGAUAUUUAUUUAUUUAUCUGGCAGAGGUUAAGAGCCACCACUCGGUUCACUUCUCCCCUGCCUGUCUCCGUUCUGGCAGCUCAAAAUCCGUCUCACCGAUUGUUUCGCCGGUUUCUUUCAACUCAUAAAAACUCCAUUGCAAGGCAAAACAGGAACUAGGUUAUGCGAUGCCAGCGCUUUAUUUUUAACAUCUCCCCUGCAACACGUUGGCCUCCUCUUGGUUUAAUCUUACAACUAAAGGAAUAAGAGCGACGGUUCCGCACAUCCCCAACCGAGUAUUGCCGCCGGCCGCGCUGCCAACCCUCCGUGCCCUUGCAGGGUAUGGAAAUGUGAAACUACUCACGUUGCUCUCAGUACAACCCAUAUUAACUUUGGGGGGUAUUUUUUUCAUAUAUUUGUCUAUAAAGUAGAGAUUACUUUACACAAACAAUUAGCUCAGAGGUAAGAAGCUAUAACUACCGGCAGGGCUCUUAUUUUAUUCCUGUUUUCUGUUAAUAUUAUUAUUCUAAUCAGCAGUAAGGACUGGUGGGUGCAAAGAAAAGCUCCUGUUUGCCCGGCCCUGAAACCUCCUUGUGUUAUUGCUGCUGUUACUUACACGGGAAAGGGAACUGUCUCUUGAGGAAGGGAAAAAAAUGGAGGUGGCAGCUUUUAUUUGUUAAGCUGACUCAGCUGGACAGUGGAACAAGAAAUGUUCAGAUCCAAUCCAUAACUUUUGUGGCCGCUCUAAGGACGUAUUCUUCCUCGACACUGAUAAAAGUUUAAUAUGGAGUUGCCCAGGUUUUUAAUAAACUUGUCAACAAAAGAGCAAGGCAAAUUGAUGGGGACCUUCCCAGGAAUAAAUUCCACUUCAAAUAGGCCAAAUGAGUGUGGAGGACAGAGAGGGGAAGGUACACGGGCAGCUUCUGCUGUUCUUUGCAAAAAUGGCACAAUGGAUUUUAGUGGGUGCGUAUGUGUGUGCGUCUUAUUAUCUCUGAGACAAGGCUUUAGGACAAAGCUUAAAUUAAAGAACACAACCUGGUGUGGCUCAGAGCCCUGACACGGCAAGGAAGGGAAGGGACAAAGCUCCGGCACUGAUUUAGCGGUGAAGCCAUUCCCCACUAAGGAACUGCCAUCUCACCCUGCGAGUAGUGCCGCAUCUCCCAGUGCACCUGAAGGCUCCAGGCAUCUCCUACCCAGACUGUGGUCACUUUGGGACCAUCCCCAACACACUCUGCAACAACCUUUACUCAUACGCUGAGUAUCACCUGUGCCCACCCAUGCAUCACCUGCCCGCCAGCAGACCCUCUCUACUCUGACCUGUGAUGCCAACAGAGUUUUAUCCCACAUCCCCCACUACGCACAUCACAUUUCAGCUACUGCCUGCGCGUUUAUCUCCACUCAGUCAAACCAAUCCCAUUCACUGCUCAAUUUUUUUACUUCCAUACAUCAUGAGCUGCCUCCAGGCACCACACCGCCCCUUCCCAUGGCAUUGACUGCAGGCAUGGCAGGAGGGGCACACACUGCAUGCUCUGCAAGCUUGGGAUGGAAAUCUCUGCACGAGAUGCAUUAUUUUCUAUUAGCCUCCAUCAAGCUGGUGCCUUAAAUUAUUAAGCUUUGUUGUGGUGUUGGUUUGUUUUUUUUUUUAAUUUGUUGACCUGAAGUAAACACAAGUAUUAAAUCAGAUUCCAAUAAUCUCACUGACAGUAAAUUAACUCAUUGUGUCCUAGAGGGGGACGCAACCGCAUCUUGGCCACUCUGAGCAAUGCUUCACCAUCCCUGCAGAUUCCACAUGCAUGCAAUGGGGUAAAAAGCAGAAGGCCAGAUCCUGCCUCCAACCUUGGGCCAUGUCCCAGAUUGGAAGCUCUGCCUGGAUGCCGCGAUGAAAUUUAUUCCUGAUCAUUCUUAGGUCACCGGAUUCCUGCUCCGGUAGCUUUACCCGACCCCCCAAAUGCCAGGGUCGACGUGCCUAUGUAAGGGCUUUGCAGGGACGGCUCCUGCCCUCACAGCUGCUUGGGGACUUCUGCAGCCGGUGGUCACGAGCCCCUGGCUGCCCAGAUGCCACCUAAUCCGGCCCGGCAGAGGGGCAGCUGAGAAUGAGCACUAUUUAUACCAGCUGCUGCUGGUCCCGCUGGGCUGCCUGUGGCUUUUUUAGCUAGCAGCUCCCAUCCCAGCGCAGGCCAUAUCUGGACAUGGCACAGGCAGAGUGCUGUGCUUCGAGAAGAGAAGAAAGAAAAAAAAAAGAGGGAAAAAAGGAAAAGCUGCAUCUGUUUUAAGAUGUCAGGCACCCUGUUUCCAUCAAAGCAUCCUGAGCACCACCAAAACUGCUCCAACUGCUAAAAGCUUCACUAUAAACUUGCCUCUUAUUCCAAGUGUGUCUGUCCUCUGACAACCUUCCACCCGUGCACAUGGCUAUUGGCCUCUGUUCCUUCAUACAGACCUCUAUGCAAGAAAUGCAAGCUCAAAGCAAGGGUGAAUGCUGACACUGCUUACACAGUGUGAGCAGAAUCUCCUUUGGAGAAUUACAGGGUGUCAGAGGAGGCAGGCGGCUUGGAGCUCUGCCUGUUGAGGAGGCUGCACAAGACUUUGCAUUUUGGCCAUUACACACUCAGAAUGAGCUUGUUCUUGGGUAAUUGCACCAAGACCUUCUCCAGUCCUAUCCCUGCAAUGGCUUCAGCAUCUCUACAUGAGCAGCCCCCUCCCUCUGGGGGAAUGCAAGGCAGGGGAGCAGCAUAGCUGCCUGCAGCCCAGCAAGCAGGCGGUGCAAUGAGCUGCACUCGCCAUGACCCUGCAUCCCAACAGGGAAGCAUCUUGCUGCAUGAUGGCUUCAGGUCAAGAGCAACUUCAGCAGAAAGCGCUAAACUGAGCGCCUUCACUGGGAGGGAAUCGCUGAAAUCAGCGCCCGGCUUUCAGGGGAGGGAUGCGAGCUCCGGAGCGAGGAUAUUUCUCUUGCAAGGAACACACCACCCCCUCGCCCACAGCCACCGUGAAGUGCAAGAUGUGGUGAAACUCUUUAAAAAUAGAUAUAUUCCCAAGCAAUACAUGCCGCUCGCAUCUGGCAGGGCAAACCUAGCAUGGAAGCUCUUGCUUACAGACUAAAAAGCCUCGGAGCAGCUCAAGGCUCCUGCAACCUUGUCUCUCUCCUCGAUUCUUCAGAGCCCGCUCUUGUUCUUGGCCUAACCCAGUCCUGGGAAGCACAAGGGAAGCCCUGCCCAGCUAGGCUGGUGUCAAAGGCAGGGAAAGAUACUGCAGUGCAGUGCUGAUCUCUUCUGCAAUCGGACGUGCAGACUAGCCCGAAUGCUGAGUCAGCACAAUUUCUUUUUUGAUUGGUUGAUCCGAGUAACAUACUUUCAAUGUAUGCUAAAGGGGCAGCAAUUAAUAUGUUUUCCCCCCGUUCUCCACCUUUCCAAACCUCCUCAAAUCAAACACACAAAUCUCACCCCCAAAGUCACUCUCUGGUCCUAAAUAUUCUGAGGCUCUUUCAUUUUUAAUUUAGGGCAUUAAAAAAAAAAAAAUUUGCAAUCUAAGCGAUGCUCACUUUGAUCGACUUGUGCUGCAGCAGCUAAAAUAUCUGUCCUGCAGGUCAAUCUAAUCAUGCUUAAUAGCAGUUUAUUCUUCAACGCAACAUUUUUCACAUUGGGUCGACAGUUUUAAAUGAGAUUGCUGAUGCACCCCUUUACUAAUGCUUUCACCAGGGCCAGCACAUCCCUUGAAAUACUCGUGCAAUAAAAUGAAUGCUUUAUUGCUCUUGAUGAAUGCACUAUUAAACUUGAAUUGCAAAUAUGCCCCCCCCCCCCUUUUUUUUUUUUUUUUUACAAAAGAAGAGUGCUGGGAUUUAUUGGACCACCUGUCUUCCAGUAUUAAGUAAUAGCAACAAAAGUAAUAAUAGCUCAUCAACAUAAACACAUGAAAGGGAAAAAAAUAAUUCAGGGGAAAACACACAGCACGAAUUCAUCCCCGUGCUCCCAUGCGCGUGUGCAAAAUUCCCAUUCUAUACCUGCCCGUAGUUCCUCUUAUGUGCAGAAAAUUCAUCUCAAGAACGGAUGGGUUUUGUGAGGCAUAGAAUAGGAAAACGUAACUAAUUUGGUCCACUGGAUUUAUGGCUUUUACAGUCCUCAGAGCUCCCGUUUCUGCUGGUGGGACCGCUCAGUGCGCGCUUUGCGGGACGGAUGGGCACAGCCGAGCAUCGCGCCUCGCUUCAGCACAGAACCUGCAGCUCUGCUCUAUGGAGAGCGAAGGAGAAGAGGCUUUCUUCAAGCUAAGAAAUAGGGAGGACCUAGUGUGGAGGAACAGUCACAGUUUUAAUCCAAACAAGAAGAAAAGCGAGAAGGAGCUGGAGCUAAGAGUAAGAAUGGCGCAAACUGGUGGACGAUGCUAAUGACUAAAGGGCUGACGUGGUUUUGGGGUCUUUACAGCAUUUCUAUUUAUUUUUUGGCAUUGCCACACUGCACCAGAGAUGGGGUAGGGUCUCAGGAUGUGUUCUGCACCCACACACCUCCACCACGUGGCUCCCACACCGUGAGACAGAGCUGAGUUAUGGUUUUGAAAAUAUUUACAUAAAAAUAAAUCUGAACACUUAGUGACUUCCUAAAGUUAGCAAUUCCGUGUGAUUAACAAGCAUAUUAAUUCAGAGAGGGGGAAGGAGAUAAAAAUUGCAUUAGGGAUGCAGGUAUCUGUUGUAAAUCAGACCAUGAGCACCUUCGCUAGAGAUAUGCACAGUGAUGUGGAAGGCUCAGUAACACCCGCGCUGAGAAUGCAGAGAAAGAGAAGAAAACAAGAAAAAGAAAGAGCAAGACAAUGAGAGAAUGAAAGAAAAGAGAAAAAAAAAAAGAAAAUAAAGAAGAGAAAAAUAUAAGAGCGGAGUUGAAAGCAAGAAAGCAAGCUAGAAAUAAGGAGAAAAUGAGAAGCACACAAGUAGAAGACAAGGAAAGAAGGAAGGAGAGGAAAGCAGUGAGGAAAAGGGAAUCGAGAAGAGGUAGGGUAAAAGGUCACCUGGGAGAGGAGGGAAAUUGCUAUUGUGGCCAGAAUGGUGAGAAUCAUCCCCAUUUUUCACACAGCAAGUCAAGCUCCCAGCAGUGAUGUACAAGUGAGAGAAAUUGCAGCCCUGUUUGGCCAUGGGAACUCUGCUGCUCCGUCUCUAUUCAUUUCCCAGCACCUUUGUAUUUAAUUGUGGCCCCAAACUGGGGCAGGACACCCUCAGUGGCUGGGACCCAUCCCUGUCCAGGGGACAAUGCCUCUCCUCAAAGCACCUGGCAAAGCAGAGGUCCCUCCUCCCCCAAGCAGAGGUUGAGCACUCCAUGUGUGUCCACCACUUGUAUCAUCUUUCUAAAAAAAGAAAGAUUUAUAAAACUUACAGAAUUCUGUACAUUGGAAAUCUCCUUAAGAGCCCAGCCCUCCUUACUUAACCUGCUAUUCACAAGUGCCUGCUUUCCGUUAAACCCCAUUUGGUGUACGUGUAACAAGUGGCAGCAGUGCUUGCCAUGAAUCACAACAAACUGAGGCUCAGCAAAGGCCUUCAGAGCACUUUUGCCAAGCACAGAGAUGUGCUGAAACCAGAGGGAACUUGCUCCAGAGCAGAACACUGCUGUGCCCUCGGCUGCACGGCGGGGUGAUGGGGAUAAGUUUGGGAGUAGGUGGGAUGGAGAAAUGCAGUGCCUAACAGCCCAGAUAUGUGCAUCUCAUAAGCUUGAGGAAAAUGGGGGCUGAAAGCUUCACCCGCCCCUACCCAGACAGAAAGUUCUGAUUGUUCGCACAGAACGUUACACCCAUUUGUAUCAUUGCAUCUCACUGCCGUGGGAUGCUGGGAGAAUAACCAGGUGUUUUACGAUGAGAAAGGUUAAAAAGGAAAACCAGAACACCAGGAAAGCUUCUCAAAUUCAAGGUGCUAUUUUCCUUAUUUCCCUCUAAUAACCCUCUAAUAACACACACUGGGAGCGCUCACUGCCUCUGGCUGGGAGCUGGGCACCCACUGGCCAUGUCCAAGGGCCAACACACGCACAGUGAACAUUGCUUCCUCUCCAGCAUUAAGCACAAAAAGUUUUAACACAGGAAACAUCCCAAAAGCUGUCUGCGUAUUUACGUGAAGCCAAAAUACUGCACCUCCAAGUCACAACUCCUUCCCUUCUUCUCCCCGCCUCCAACUCCUUUCCUUUUCCCUAGGAUUAAGGACCAGCUCUUUUACCCAGCCUUAUUUUUGGGAAAAAGGGCCGAGGGGGAAGCAGCAAUCCGGAGGGACUGGUCUGUAUCCCCGCUGAAAACCAGGAGUGGACAGCCAGCUUUCCUCUGGCAUCGCCUUUCAAAGCCCAUGCCGCAGUCAGCAUAUUGAAUAUUUAAUGUCCUGAUGAGCAUUUCCACCUGCUGACACAGGCAAAGUGACAGAACAAUACACGCACUGGAACAAGAUCACCAAUUGACUCCCCAGCCAGUCUGCCAUGUCAGGCAUCUCAAAAAAAAAAGACAAAAAUCUGUCUGUCUUCCUCCCCCCCCCCCCCUUCACACGGGGUCAUACAUUGCUCCUCCGAGAAGAGUUCCCACCUGAAAUACAUACUUCUUUACAUUCCAUAGAUUGCCAGGUUCAUAUGGGCAUAUAAAGAAGUAUGUCUCUCAAGCAGGUAGGUUCAAUAUGCGCAUUUAUAUGUACACGGGAGGAAAUAGGGCUGGCGUGCCAUUUACUUCCCAGGAGUGAGUUACAGCACAGUUUGAGGCAGCCCAUGUGCAAAACACACACAUGCAUGCACACACACACACACACACACACACUCACUCCCCUUGCUGGUCAUUCCGGCUCUGCCCCUGCAGGUUGCUGGGGUUUAGGGCUGGGAAGAGGCAGUGGGCAAUGCCUGGAGUGCCUGCAGCACUUUGUCAUGGAAUGGCACAGAGGAAAAGCCCCACUCCCAGCCCCCCUACAAAGAGGAUGCUUUCACUGAAAUUGCAAACUUUCAGCAAUUAAAAAGGCUUUAGUUGAAGGAAUUUGCUUUCUGUGUAUAUAUAUAUAUAUAUGCAUAUAUAUAUGUGUGUGUAUAUAGAUUUAGACAAAGCCAUGUGGGUGGAGGUUAAGUAGAUAUCAAAUCCCGAUCGCCUCCAUCCUGCAAUUUAGAAACAAGAAGCCAAUUUGCUUUCAGAAAGCCAAAAUCCAGCAUCCGGCACUGAUUUACAAAGCAACACCAGCAAGAAGUGCUCCAUCUGGCAGAGCAAGAGAACUCACCAGCUACAGACACGCCAUCGCUUCCAGCACUAAGUAGAGAUUAAGGCAUAGGAAGAAGAAAGCAUCUUACCUAAAGAAUCCAGUGAUUUUUCCUCUGCUGGUCACCGUGAGUGUGACACUACCUUGCAGCAAACAAUCCCCAAUAUACCUUGGGAGAAGGGCGGGGGAUUUCGGGGUAUUCAAAAAACGUAUAUAAAAAACAAUUCGCUUUUCACAAGUCAUCCAGCGGAGCCCCACACCUGGGGUAGACACCAGCAGAGAUGCAAACUAAAAAGCAGCCCCAGCCCCGUGCUGGUGGCUUAGGCCAAAAAAGUCUUUCGGAGUUGUCCCCGUGGGGCUCAUCCCCACACGCAGCCAUCAGUUCCCGUUGCCUCUGCCCUCCGCCAGCAGCCACGCUGAGCUUUAAAGCUCCGGAACAAUGUGGCUGGGCUGAAUGCAGGGCGGCAUUCCGGAGGUCACGGCGGGCGCUGCCGCUCGCUCAGCACAGCGGGUGUGCGCUCACCUGCGCCCCUCGCCCCGCCGCCGCUCGAUUGCAAUUUGCAGGCGAAAUGCACAACGCCUGCCUCGACGCUAAUGAAUUUGGCCAUUUCUCACCGGUUUCUAAUGAAGCCUUUAAAGAGGGUUUAAGUAAACUUAGCAAGUGGCAAAGUAAGCACUUUGGAAUACUUAAUUGUAUCGAUGUGUUGGGUGGUUUUUUUUUUUGUUUUGUUGGUUUUUUGUUUGUUUUUUUUCCGCUGCUUUGUGAAAUAUAUCACUGGGAGAGUGGGAGUAAAUACUUCCCUGUGCUGAUUGACUUCCACACCAUCAGGCUGCAAAGCCCCGCAGAGCCGGGGUGCAAACCCAUGGGCUCGCCCCAACCCCUCAGUGCCACGCACCACGCAGCAGAGUGGGUGUGAGCCCAGUGCUGGUUCGGCACUGUGCCCUUCCUCACUGCCACAGGGCUUCUGGCCCCACUAAAUGUCGUCAUUUGUCUCAUUUUGAGGCAAAUUUCCACCACUGGUUUGGAGUAAUGGGAAGAGAGAUGGAGCUGUGGCACCAUGAUAAUGCAUGACUGCAGUGAAAUUAAAGUGAAGGGAGAGGAGCGUGAGGGAAAGCCUGGGUGCUCCGAUUCUAAAAAGAAUUCCUCAAAAGCCCACAAAGAACUGAGUUCAGGUGGGUUUCACAUGGCCAAGUCGCUUGGCCAUGUUGAAUUCCCCUCAGACAAACACCAACAGGCCAAGCAACGGAACAGAACAGCUACUUGACGUCUUGGACCAUUGCACAUUUCACCUCACUCCCGAUUUGCUUUCCUGAAAUCCACCUGCCAUGGACUGUCCUGAACUGUCCCAAACUUCUGCAGAUGAGCAGGAGAAGGGGAUGCCAGCCAACUACAGGGAACUAAAAGACGGCACAUAAAAUCCUUACAAAUAUUGAAGACAGUGGAACAACCGCAGCAGGGAGGUUCAUCUGUUGGUUGCUCCCAGAAAGGCGGUGGAUCUAGAUUUCAAUCUGCCCGUGAGUUGUAGGGUUGGCCCUGCUGGUGGAGGAGCAGACAUGCGGCGUGGUGGUGAUUUAAUGGUGACGCCAGAGGCACUUUGUGGUCCACAUCCUACAGUGAGCACCAGGAGUAAUGGGUGGUGGGCGAGCAUCGCCCAGCAUCCUCCACACACCUCGGCUCACCCAGAGCAGAAAAAGCUGCACAAUAAAAUUGUGGUUGUUGUGGGGGGAAAAAUGCAUGGGAAUGUGGAUAGUGCAGAGUGCAAGGAGCAAAUAAAAGGGAAGGAUGGAGAUGGAGGGAUGGAGGGAGUGGGAAGGAUGGAAGCAUGAUGCUGUACACCUGCUCCCUCUAUCCCAUUCUGGAGGAGCUCCUCCAGUCCCGGUGGCAAAGUCAGGCUGUGGCUGUGCAGUGCAAAACUUCAGGGACUUGGAGGCAGCCUGGUUUGGGGCUGGGCACAGCCAAGGAAAGCCAGCAGGGCCGAGCUGCAGGGAAUGGACCAGGCUCAGUCCUUUGGGGCGGCAGCAUGGCCACCCGCACCAGGGAACCAGCAAUUAAACUGCCAGCCAGAUCACAGGGCUCUGCCUCCACAAUUACACACGACUGCUGAGUGCACACUCUCUCCAGCACAGACAUAUGCAAAUAGCCAUACUCCAAGCACAGACUGAAGGUGCAUUGAAUUGGGAUCAUGUGCUACACCUGUUUAUAAUAGCAUUUAAUAUCUCUGUAUAAAGCCGUGUAAAAUAUACAUAUGCAUGCUAUAAAAGAUAUCCCAGUUUGUGUGCAUGCGUGUAUAUAACACAGUACCCCUCACACAAUACCAAUGCAUAUACAUUUAUGUGAUCAGGUAUCACCACUAUCAUAUAAAAUAUAAUGACCACAGCUAACUCUCAGCUGCAAAAGCAAUAACAGCCGAUUGAUGGAUGAAGUGUAACCUGAAUUCAAACCCCUUGCAGGGAAAACCUAACUUCUCCUUGCAUCUCCUUUCUGAUUGCCCACAAGCCAUGCGUCCGCAAUUAACGCUCAGUUCUCGGCAUUGGAACAGUUAAUCACCGCAGCACUGAGAUCACUGCAAGUUAGGCUAAGUUUAACCACAUUUCACCCUUUUGCUCUGUUUGGUAUUAGCUCAGAGCCACUAGUUUGGUGCAAAUAAAUAAAUGAAGCCCCAAUCCCCCUAGGUGUCAUUAGCCAGCCUGGCUCUGAAUUAGGCAUUUAAAGGCCAGUUUAACCUUGCAGAACGGCUGCAUGUCAAAGUUCUAACAUUUCAGUUCAGAUUAUUAUAGUGCACUGCUUGCUCUGCAGUUUGUUCCUUUUUUUUUUCCCCCCCUUUAAAUGCAGAGUAUGCCACAGCAGAACAACAACAACAAAAAAGAAUAAAGGUGGGGGGAAGGUCUCCCAACUCAUCCAUGGAUUAGAGGCAGCCGGCACAUCCCCACACAGACACACACACACGCAGCACACACACAUUUGCCGGAUGCAAAAGCAGACAUUUAAGUCCCCGGGUAAGUUGGAUGGGCACUCAGUCCUGCAUCGGUCAGAAAAGUGUUUAAAAACGAGCUGAGCUAGUGCAGUUAGAGGGAAGAAAGGGAGCAGAAGAGGGGAAGGAAAAAAAGAGACAUACCAGUUAGGAGCUUCUGUUGCAGCAGAGGACUCACCAGAGCACUAGCUGAAAGCUGAAUCAGCUUUCGAGAGUUAGGGAUGCAUAGAGGAGGGUCAUGGAAUCACAAGGUAAUAAUGCGCUUCAUGCUGCAGCCGUCAGCCUUCUCCUUAUAGCCAAUCUCUAAUGCAGGAAGGGAAAAAGAGAGCAGGCCCAGUGAUGGUAUUAGUCCUCACUUGGAGGAAAAAAAAAAAAAAAUUAAAAAAAAAAAUCAUCAGGCAAACCUCCCCCCCACCCUUACCUCACCCCCUCCGCCCAGCACCACUACAACUCCAUCCCUGCUGCUGCAUCGCGGCUGGGCGGUGGGGGGAGGAAGGCGGCAGGCAGCGCGGUACAGCGGAGGCUGAGCAGCGGAGGCUGAGCGGGGGGAGCGGGGCUCCGGGGAGCGCCGGCGGCGGCUGGCGAGGCGGGGGUUAAGGAGAAGGGACCCAACCCGCCCGGAUUGCAGCACACCUGGGUGCGAAAUGGGGCUGUCCCCUCUCUAGAUCCCCUCCUUCCCAAGGGUCAGCCCUGGGUUGGGGUCAGCCGCCGGGAGGGGUACGCACACACGCACCCAGGGGGGAGAACGAGGGGGGCAAGCGCUGGUCAGGAAGCGGGUCCACCUUUCCAGUGCUUAUAUACCCAGCGAAGCAUCCGAAACACGCACCACCGGGCGAGCGGCCCCUGCUCGUGCUCUUUCCUCCC